UGUGAAAGGACCUCAUAUUGGUUGCACCAGCUUGUUAUCAGCCCUCUUUCCUUAAUCUCCUUCAGGAACUCUAGAUCCAGAAUUGCAGAAUCACCCAUCACGACAUCUGGUCUAACGAUCCAUAAAAAUGGGUGUUUAGAGUUAGCCAACCCCCAUGCAAAUUCUNNNNNNNNNNNNNNNNNNNNNNNNNNNNNNNNNNNNNNNNNNNNNNNNNNNNNNNNNNNNNNNNNNNNNNNNNNNNNNNNNNNNNNNNNNNNNNNNNNNNCCUUCCAUAGGCUUGGGUUCAUUGACUUGGAGGGAUCGGCAUGUAGGUGCCUGGCAACCAAAUGAAGUGGUCCUAUUGUAUAAAUUCGAGGAAAUUUGGCAGCGAUGGCGUCGAGCACUUCAUGUUCGAACUCUUCAAAUGCGUUGAAGAUUAUUGCUGAAGCUUUUAGGCAAUUUUGAGCUUCGGAUCCUAAAUAAUCAAACAAAAUGUCAUUCGGAUCGUUGGCUCUGACGAAGCUUGGAAAAUCUCUGAGGCGAAUGUUACUCAUUCCAGGGACCCAGUCAAUAGGUUCAUCGAGAAAUGUUUCACCUGACACGACAAAGAGUCAAAUUUGAGUUCCUUUUAGACAAUUUUCUUAGCUAUAAAGUUAUAAAGUUGAAAUAAGAAAGUACUUACUUUGGAAUGGAAUAAUGCCUCGUUUAACCAGUUCACUGAAGUGAAGAUAUCCCAUGAAACUACAUGCUGAGGCAGUCCAAAACUGAACUUCUGGUAUGCCAAGUUGUUCAGCAGCCUUAAUAGCAAAGCUCAUAAGUCCAUCAGAGAUUAUGCAAGUAACAGUGGGCACUUGGGGAGAGGAGUUUAACUUAGCUAGUAGAUCUACGAAUGGUGCCAAGCAAUGCUUUCGUAUCGAAUCACACAGAACUGGAAGAUCCUGUGUUGCAUUUCGAUCGGACGAUGGCAGCCCUUCCGGAAUUGUUUCGAACUGGAAAUCAGGCAGACCUUUAACGAAGUCAGGGCCUUUGGACCUGACCAAACGCCUAUGGUUGAACUCAGUGUUAACAAAGGUUAUGAAGAAGCCUCUAGAGUGUAAGAGCUUAGCAAGUAGCAUCAUGGGGUUAACAUGACCUUGUGCUGGAAAUGGGACGAUUACAAUAUGGGGUUUACUGGUUUCAAGUGAACCCAUCUUUGCAAAGCAAUAACAAAGUUGUAAAAUUAAGGUGUUUGCAGAGAAGCUUUCCUUGCUUUCUAGCUUCUCUAAAGCUUGACGAGUAGCAACAUGCAAUAUAUAGGAAAAGGAUGGCGUGAAAGAGUUCAUUUGUAUUCCUUUUUCAAUAGAGAAACUGUCAGAAAAUUCAUUAUUUUUAAUUAUUUUUUGUUUUAUUUUCAAUCUAAACCAUACAUUUAUAAAUAAUUUUAUAUUUUAUUCUCAAAUCAAUAUAUAUCUAUUGGAGAAUUUUAUUUAUAUUUCUUAUAUUUUUUUAUUUUUAAAUGAGAUAUUUAAAAUGAUUUGUUUGACUUGGGUUCUUUUUUAAGAUAUUAGCUUUUAAUAUCACAUGCGUGCGUUGCAUUUAAUUUUACGCAUUUAAUAUUUAAUUAAUUUUUAAAAAAUAUUGUACUUAAUUACAACAAUUACCAUCAAAUAAUAUUUCUUAUUUGAAUUUUUGAAUAUAACUAAAAUAAUUAAAGCAUUUUAAAGUGGUAAUUAACAUAAUUAACUCUAUUAUUAAUUAAGUGAUAAUUAAUGUGCUUAAAAUUCUAUUCAAAUAAUAACUCUAUUUUAUAUCAAGAAAAUUAGCACAAUUUUUAAAAAAUGAUAUUAACAUAAUUAUAAUUAUCACAACUUUUUUACGCUAUAUUUUAUGCUUAGAGUUAUUUUCAAGUAGAGGUUUUCAUGGGUUGGGCUACCCGGCCUGGCCCGACUGCCCGCCCAAAAAAUGAGAGGGUUCGGGUAAAAAUAUAGGCCCGAAAUAUGAGUUUGAGAAAAAAUGAGGCCCGUUUAGAAAACGGGCUGGGCCUCGGGUAAGAUUUUUUUAGCCCGGGCCCGGCCUGAAUUAUAUAUUAAAUAUAUAUUUUUAUUUUUAAUUAUAUAUUAAAUAUAUAUAAUUUUAUUUUUAAUCAAAUAUACUUUUUAUUAAAUAUAUAUAUUUUUUAGACUUUUAAUUUGAAUUAUAUAAUAAAUAUAUAUUAUUUUUAAUCAAAUAUGGGCCGGGCCGAGCUCAGGAUUAGCAAUUUUCUUUCGGGUCGGGCCAGGCUCGGGCCUAGAAAACGGGCCUAAAAUUUGGUCUUGGCCCGGCCCGACCCGACCCAUGAUCACCUCUAUUUUCAAGUAAUCAUUUUUAUUAAAUUAUAAUUAUUUUUAAAUGUAUAAUUAUCAAAAUUUAUAUUUUAUUUCAACUUUUUUAACGAAUAAUUCUAAAUUAAAUAUUAUUUUUUAAAAUGUAAAUUUAAUAAUAUGAUGAAAAAAAUAAAAGAUAUUCAUCAAUUAAACAGUUUUUCUAAACUCGUAAUUUAUAUAUAUUAUAUGUAUAUGUAUGAUAGAUGUAAUCUACCUGCUAUAAUAAAAACAUAAAUAUUUUUAAAAUUAGAGUUAAUUUAAAUUAUUAUUUUAUUAUUGAUUGACUAUAAGUGGAGUAAUAAUGGACAGUGUUCAAGUUUGAAUCUGUUGGACAACUUCCAUCCCUUUUAAAAACAAAAGAAGGAUAAUCUUUUAAAUGUUUUGAUAAAAUCCAUUCAACCUUUAAGUCACGUCAUUAUUAAUUACUCCAUUUUUAAAUUUUUAAAUAAUAUAUUUAAUGGGUAAUUCCCUAAGUUAACAUAUGCUUAAUGGUUUAGUAUUCAUACCCAUCCAUCCUGGAAGAAAGUUUUAUUAAUGUAAAAAGAGAAAAUAUUUGGUACACUGUAAUUAGAGCUUCUAGACUCUACAACAAGAUCAAGAGUCGAUAAAUAUUUUAUAGGAGUAUCGUAAAAUAUUAAAAAAAAGACAUGACAAAUUUUUAAAGUUGCUUGUGGAAUAAAAAAAACACUACUAUUAUGCCAAAUACUAGUACAUGUAAAUAAAUAAUUAUCACAAUUUUUUUAUCUUAUACAAUAAUAUAUAAUUCCAAAUUAGUUAGUAUUAAUUAAAUAAUUAUGGGGGAGGGGAUUAAUGAAAAACAAGGUUUUACCCUUUAAAUAGGUACUAAGAUUAUUUCUUCUUUUUUAUGGCAAAAAUGUUAAAAAAAGAUCAUUUCUUUUUGGUACUAAGAUUAUUUGUUUAGUUAUUUCUUUAUUUGAGAAUGACAACAUUGACUUGCCUUCAAUGUAAUAUAAGUCAUGGAUUCAUUUGAUAAAUGGUAGAAAUAUUCAUUCCAAUAAAAAAAAUUAAUAUUGAAAAUGAUAAAUACACAAUAGUUACUUAUAUUUAAUAGAAAAUUUAUUAAAUUACUCUUUUUUCUAAGAUUAUACCAUCUUUUACAAUGGGAAAAUUUUCAUUUAGGCUCUUUAUAAUUUAUAAAAUUUUAAAUUAGUAAUGAUAAAAUUACACUUUGGCCCCCUUAAAAAUGAUAAAAAUUUGAUUAAUUCUUUAAAAAUUAUAAAGAUAUAGACUAUUAAAAUGGUGAAAUUACAUUUUUACUAUCAUAAAAUAUACAAUUUAAUUCCGCCCUAAAAAGCUUUUCUAAUUCCGCCACUGUUUUAUAUUUAAAUUAAUUACGCUUGAACUAGAAUGUCACAUUAUUCUCUAUAUAAUUAUUUUUAAAAAUUUUAGAUUUAUAAUAUUUUAUAUUUAAUAGUAUAUUUUAUUUCAAAUGUUUCAUAUUUAUACUCAAAGUCAUUUAAAUUUUGGGUUUGUUUCAUAAAAUGGUUUUAAAAAAUAUAAAUAUAAAACAUAAAACAUAAAACUUUUAUAAUUUAAAAUUUACAUUUAUCAAACAAUCUAUUUAUAUUUAAUAAUUAAUUUUAAGUAAUAUAUCAAAUAAAUUUUGUAAUUUAAAUUCAAUAUAUGUAAUUUUUUAACACUUAAUUUUUAAUUUAUUUUUUAUCCAUAUUUUUCUUCCCUUAUUGUGGGAGAUUCGGCCCCACCUUUGAAUAUUCAAAUAUUAUUGUUAUCAUAUAAUAGUUUAUAAUUAAACUGUUGUUGAUAUAAUAAAUUUAUGUAUUUAUAUUCCAACUCCAUUAUAUAUUUGAAGUUAUUGUUUAAAUUUAAGAUUUUCUUUUUCAAAAAUAGUUUAAUAAUUUUUAAUAUUUCCAGGAAUUAAUUUAUGAACCAUUUUAAUUUUAGUUGGAAUAAAAAAAAGAAAAAGAAAGAAAAAACUAUAAUAUCUUCUUUCGUAGCUAAUUUUUGUACCUAUUUUUUUAUAGAAUUUACAAUUAUUUAUACUAAAAUAUGUCACAUGUACGUGAAAACUAUUAUAUAAUAAAUUUAUUAAAAUUGAUAUGAAAAUUAAAUAUUGCUUGGAGUAAAUUUGAUGAGAAUUUGAGUUUAAAUCCCAUUAUAUAUAUAUUUUUGGAUUCUAUAGAAAAAAGAUAAAAUCCUUAAAAUAUUAUUUAUUAUUUUGUUAAAAUAAUGCUCUUUAAGCUAAUUGAGUUGAGACCCGAUUGAACAGUUACACCAACUCAAAUAAUUUUUUUUAUAAAUAAUAGAAAUAUAAAAUCAUACUCAAUAAUUAAUAUACAUAAAGAUUUUUAUUUUCAUUUAUGGAAUAAAAAACAUACUCAAUUAUUGAAGUUCAAUGAAUUUGGUGUGAAGAAAGUAGAAAGGGCCGGGCUGCCUCAAAUAAAAUUUUUCUGCCAAUUUGUUUGGCUUCCAACAUGACACGUGCCAAUUAGGAAAUACGUACGUAAACGGAAGGUAAGAAAACAACAGGUUGCGACUCUUUACCAUUAGAUCAGACCAUUACCACUAUGUUACGUCUUUUUAAUUAAUCAAUUUGAAUAUAAAUCAUAAUUAUUCUCAAGAUAAGAUGGAUAAAUGAUGGUAUUUGUCAUCAUAAACUUUCACUUAUCACUAGUGUCAAAACCGUUUUUUGAAAACAAAAAUUUAGUUCCCGACUUUAAAAAUAAAACUGGAGUCGCCAUCGAUCCUUUAUCAAUGUGUGAUCGGCUCACCUUAAAAAUCAUAUUGGUCUACGAAUUUUGAGAAAACGAGUUCGGGAGUCAGUUACGCACGAGGAAGGGUUAGCACUCUCGUAACGCCCAAAAUCGGUACCAAAUUGAUCAUUUGUCUUAGUGUCGAAGGUUAAAAAGAUUUUAAAAUCGGCUCAAAUGAUGAAAUUUGCAAAAGGAUAAUCAAUUGUUCAAGUUAUGUAAAGAAACCCAAUACGUUAGGGUACAAUUUCUUAUAAUUCCCGAACUUUGAAUAUCACUUUUAUUUUAUGCGAAAAUCUUCAUUUUGAGAAAGUAACAUGUCACACCCAAUACGUUAGGACACAACAAGUUAAGUUCCCAAAAAUGAUUUUUAUACUCAUGCAUUUUGAAUAAAGAAUAUCUUCGGUUAUUUAAAAUUAACAAAGAAAAUCAGAACCCAAUACAUUAGGGCUCAAUUUCUCUCGAAAAUCCCCAACUUCGAAUAUUACUUUUAUUAAAAAAAAAACCCGUUGAAUCAAGAAAAUAACCUUGAUGUAUAGUUAAAACCAAAAUGUAUUUUCUAAAAGGAUAUGUUAAAGUUAAUGUACAAUAUGAAACAAAAACUUUAAUGUAAAACAUAUAUGAGUAUGUAUUUACAAAAUAUAUAUACAAGUACAAUAUACAAGCAAAUUCGAAAAUACGAGUGGGCACAUACUUAGCACACAAAUAUAAGUGUACAUAUAAAAAGGGUAAGUGAAGAAAUAUAUACAACAAACUUAUAAUAAUUUCUAAAAAUAUGCAUGUAUUUAUGUAAUGAAAAUUGUAGAAAUAAAAUAAAAGUAUGAAAAUAUGCAAAUGUGUACAUAUUUACAAAGGCAAGAAAAAUGAAAUGUAUAAGUAUAUAUACAUAGGCCAAUCGUGAAAAUUCACAUACGUAUAUAUUCAAAUACAUAUAUACAAUAUGUAUAUAAAAUAAUGGGAUACAUGAACUGAAAAAAUAUUUAUAAUAAUUUAAAAAUGAAAAGUGUAUGUAAAAAAAAAUCUUUUAAAAAAUGUAUGUAUGUAUAUUUAUAUGUAUAAAAAAAUGAAAACAAAGUAAUAAUACAAUGUGCAUACAAUAGAUAUAUAUAUUUAAAAUAUUAAAGUAUAUACAUACUAACAUGCAUAUGCGCAUAAUAAUAUAUAGUAGUAAAUAAAAUAAAACAAAAUAAUAGUAUGGCAUAAUUGUGAUAAAAACUAAGAAAUGGGUCAAAUUGAAUUAAAAACGAAAAAAUGGGGGGAUUUAAAAGAAAUUAAAAAAAAUAGGACCAACUUGAAUGCGUGUGUAACAGUGGAGGACCAAAAGGAGAAAUAUCCCCUCCUUCCAAAACACUGCGUAGCACGGGACCAAAUUGAAACAAAAAUAGAAUAUGCGGUCCAAUUUUAAAAAAAAGCAAAACGAGUUUAAUUAGAGUGCGCUGCAAAAGGGAGGGGCCAAAUGUGCAAUUAGACCAUCAAAAGUGAAAUGCGCGGAUCCUGGAACCGGGUCAGGUCGACACGCGGAUUCCCCCAAAACGGCGCCGUUUUACAACUGUUAUAAAAUCUAAAUUUUCCUAAAAAAAUUUCACUUUUCUCUUUGUUUCAACAAAAAAGGCAGAGAAACCUUCUGCUAGGGUUUUUUUUGAACCCAUUUGUGCGCCCCCGCCACUGGGCAACCCCUCGGCCUCGGACGACACCCCCAGCCUCCGAUUGUGAUGGAGAGGGGACACCGCGACGGCACCAGGUAAAAUUCUUUCUCUUUUUCCCUUUUUAUUAAGCGAAAAUAAUGAAAAUAGAGUAAAAUUAAAAGAAAACGAAACUAGGAAUCAAGAACUCCAAAAAACCACCUUUUGUAUUCGGAAAUCAAUAAGUAAAUCUCUAUUUUCUCUCUGUUUUUCGUAUGUCUAAACUGUAAUUCCCCCCCUUUUGUUACAGAUUUUCCUCCUUUUUAUAGCCGAAAAAAACAACAAAAUAAGCAAAAAACAUAUUUCCCUUUCAAUAUUCGUUGCGUUUUUUGCUAUUACUCUGCUAUUACUGCGCUGUAUGCCCCUUUUUCGCAGGUUCGGUGGCCAUGGAGUGCGCACGUAUGUGGAAGCGCAAAUCGCGCGGAGGAAGGAUUCUGGCUCCGCAUCGUGCGGCGACUGGAGUUGCUGGAGGCUGCCACUAGGGUUUGGAGAAUGUGGGUUGCUAGUUGGGCUAGGUUUAGGGUUAUUGGGCCAGGAUGUUAUUGGGUUUGUUUAUUGGUUUGGGCCCGGGAAUUAUUGGGCUUGUACAACUAGUAAUUCUUUUUCGAAAAAUGGGUUGAUCGUAGAUAUUCGAUUAGUGACUUUUUGUCAACUUUUUAAUUUAUUUCUAUUUGAAGAGUUUUUUAAAAUAAUAAAUGAUUUCACGAGUCGAUUUAAACUCUGUUGUCUUUUAAGUCUUUACCUUUGAAAGUUUUGUCUUAUCUUGUACAAGCUUUUUAGUCUUGCUUUUGCAAGUAAUUUUAGAAAUGAUUUUUCGUUGUCCUCUCCUGUUUGGUGGAUGGUCGGUUCUUUUGUUGGUUCUGCACAUCGCUUUGGACCAUUGGGGGUUGAUUUCCUUAUCCUGAUAGUUGCUUGCAAUCACUUCAAAUAUGCCGUGCUUGAGUUGUGACAAAACCGGUUGUCAGCGUGUUGUAAUGUUCUAUUAAUGCUGAGGCUGAAGCCUCUGUCGUAUUGAUGGAGCUUAUCCUUCACUGUUGACAAUGGAUGUUUUUUUUUUCUUUUCCCCAAAUUGUAUGGUUCCAUUUAUGGAAUAAAGUAAUGAAAUUUUCCUUUCAAAUAAUAAUAAUUAAAUGUAGAGGUAGUUGCAUCGGGUAUCCCCGAACUAUGAUUCGCAUUUUUAUUUAGUUUCCAAACUUCAAAGCGCUUUUAAUUACAUAUUCAAACUAUCAAUCUUAUAUCAAUCAUGCCCUUCUAUUAUUAAAAUCAUUAAUUUAAUCAUUAAAGGACACUUCAAACCCUAUGUGAUAUAAUUUAAAAUUGAAGUUUUAAAGAAAAGUAAAACAUUACCGCAACUUUUAAAAGUUAAAACUAAAAAUAAAGUAAAACCGGAAAAAAGAGAUAGUGAACAAUAAAGCUUUUGUAAAAGUUUCAAAAACCUCAAAAUCAAGAUUUUUACAACAUCCAUUUUUACAAUAUUCAUUUUUCCUUAAAAAUUUCAAUUUAAUCUAUGCCAUAUAAUAUUUGGUAAUUGAUUUAAUGGUUAAAUUAACAAUUUUAGUAAAAGGACCUUAUUGAUAUAACUACAAUAGUUUGAAGAUGUAUUGAACGUUUUAAAUUUUGGGGACCAAUUUAGAAUAAAGGUUCUAGGUUGAGAAUAUAUGGUAAAAUUAACUCUUAAAUGUAUUAACCUUCUAAAACAAUUGAAGUAUAUUUAAUAUUCUUGAUUUGAUGUGUUUAUUUAUUUAAUUUAUUUUUAUUCAAGAUCUAAACUAUUUUUUAUUUUAGUUUCGUAGAUAUUACAUAUGGGGUAUUAUUAUUAGUUUCAAAACUUACGUUUAAUAUUCUUAAUAUGAUGUAAUUACCUAUUUAAAUUUCAUUUUACUUUCAAUUUAAACUAAUUUUUAUUUUAACUUUGUAUAUGUUGCUAUUAGUUUCAAACCUUACGUUUCAUUAUUUAUUAUACAUUAUUUUUUUAACACAUACGUGUGUUCUAAAUACAUAGUUUCUAUGCACAUACAUGUUCUAGGAUAUUAUAAUCGUAUUUAAAUAUAUCGUGUCUUAUUUAUUAUUCUUUAAAGUUUAUUAAAUGUAUUUUAUUUAUAAUUUUAUAUUAUGUUUAAAGUUGGGUGAAAGUACCUUUAAAGUCCCUAUAUUAUAGAGUCUGGAUCAAAUUAAGCCCUUUAUGAUUAAAUGGAUCAAUUCAAUUAUUCUACGAUAAAAAGAAUCAAAUAAGGCCAAAUUGGAACAAAUUUAUAAUUUAUUGUUUAAAAAAAGGCAUAAAAAUAAUUUUUUUUCAUUUAUAGUUCAUCUUCAAACAAAAAAAUUCAUCCAUAAAAUCAUAAAAAGCUUUCAAAAUAUAACUUUGUUAAAUAGUAAAUGACAUCUUUUAAACAAUUGAUGUUAAUUAUGUUCCAAUUUGGCCUUAUUCGAUUUUUUUAAUAGUACAAAGACUAAAUUGAUCCAUUUAAUAGUAGAGGGACUAAUUCGAUACGACCCCUAUAGUAAAGGGACAUGCUAGAUACAUUUAGCUUUAAAUUUGUGACUUAGCGAGACUAUUUCGAAAACUAGUAUCUUUUAAAAUAAUGUUUCUAUUCCACGAUCUAACUUGAUUAAUUAGUUAACAUGACCCGUCAAUUGACAAGAUACUAGUGUCAUAGGCCGCACAAAUAAGCCGCGACCAAGGCACACUCUAAUGUUCCCUCUUGUUCAUUGGGGGUCAUUCGACCCGAUAAGACUGACUUAUUGCUUGGAAGAGAUUUAAGGCCUAUCUACUUGGAUCCUGGUUAAAUUGUAAACAUUGUAUUUUACCAAGGUAAUUAUUGUAAAUCCUAAAGGAUAAACAUGUAUAGGAUUUAAAUCCCUUAGGAUUCUCAUAUUGUAGAUGGAAGAGACUAAAGUUCUAACCCUAUGACAAUGGUACUUUUUAGGCUUUGUCGAGUCGACAUUGUGAGCAUAAGCUGAUAUUGUUCUCUUUAGAUACUCCACAAAUUCCUCAAGGUUUUUCCAUUUGAAGGUGCAACUCCUAAAGUUCGAACCUAGGACCGUUAUAUUAUAUUCCUUUCUGCAACCAUCUUAGCUUGAUUAAAUGGUAAGAUGGUUGUGAAAAAGGAUGGGGAGGUCUUAGGUUUGAAUUUGAGGAGACACACCUUUAGGGACAAAGACUUGAGAGACCUAUGGCGGGUGCCCAAAGAGGAUAAUACUAACUUAUGCUUACGACUUUGGCGAUUGAUGGGUUGUGACAUUACUAGGCACACUACAAUAAAUUUUUAUAUUAGUGGCGUCUAAUGUCAUUAAAAAUUAUAUUCAAAUCACUAUUUAUAUUUGGUGACGUAAAAUUCAUUGUCAUGAUGUUCCUCCUGUUAAGUGUGUCACUAAAAGUUAAGAGAAACAUUUAUUAUUUUUCACUACGUAUUGUCAAGAAUAUGGUGAUGAUAUUGUAUAAUGUCACAUUUUAAUUAAUAUUCAAUGACAACUACUAUCAUCACCAAAUUAUAUAAGAUCUCAUCAUUGGUUAUUUGUAUCGUCAUCAAUAAUGACGUAACAUUCUAUAUAUAGGUGACGAAAGCAACAUCGUCAUGGUGUUAAUGACGUACUAUAUCGUCACUUAAUAUGAUCAAAUAAUAGCAUGAAUGGCGAUAAUCAGUAGUUGGUUAUAGUUGAUUUCGUCACUAAAUCAUAUACAUAAUUGACAUUGGUUAUAAAAAUUAUCACAAAAUAAGCAUCGUUGCAUAGUUAAUGGCGUAAUAUAUCAUCACUUAUAUGCUAAAAUAAUAUGCAAAAAGGACUCCUAUAUGGGGAAGUCUUGGGUUUGAACUUGGGGCCCAAGUCCAGGGGACAAAAUCUUGAGAGAUGACAAAAAUAGGGUAAUCUCUUGAAUUUUAUUGAUAGACCUCAAGGGUAUAUAUAUACAAUAAUAGUUAUGUUGGAAUCAAAUUGCUAAAAGAUAAUAUCCCAUAAUAAUAUUCUAUAGGGGUGCUUAAAGAGGACAAUACCAACUUGUGCAUACGACUUUGGCAAUCGAUGGGUCGUGACAUUACUUGAUAAAACUCUAGAAUAACGUACUUUUAUGUAUUAAUUAUGUAUUUAUUCUGAGUAUGAUCCUGCUAAUUUGAGCUAUUUAUGAUCUUUUAUCUCAUAGGGGUUAAAUUUGAGGCAAAAGCAAAAUUAAGGGCCAAAAGCGUGAAUUUAGAGAUAAAAUGGGCCAAUGUGCGACACAAGGAAAAGUUGGUGCCAAAAGUGCAAGCAUGGAGGAAACAAGGGUUGAAAUGCAAAAAGAAGAGAUUUUAUUCUAUCAGACUCUAUUUUAAUUAUAUUAGGAUAAUUAAUAUUAAGAUAAUUAUUAAGGAUUAUUUAAUUUUAGGAUUUUAUUUUAUUUAUCUUUAUUUAUCUUCAAUUAAAUGUAUUUAUCUUUUAGGAGUUUAAGUAGGAUUAGACUAUCUCCCCUAGCACUAUAAAUAUGGGGUGAAGUGACUCAAGAGGCAUCCAUCUUUUUAUGUAAACACUCUCUCCUUAAAAGUCUAGGCUUUUGUUCUUCUCAUAUUUCCUUUCAAUAAAAUCUCCAUUUUCAUUUUAUUUAUUUUCUUUUCCACCACAACCACGAGCCACUAAACCCAUCUAGCCAAAAGUUGUCGAUAUUCCCCAAAAAGGGUUCUUGAGGCUUAGAGUCCGUACUUAGCCUCCUCGUUGAGUAUUCAUCGUUUCUCCGCACUACGGGGGUGACACUUCCAUCCAUGUCCCUUAAGAAGUAAGCUUUUCAACGUAUGCAAAGGCAGUUUCUUUGUAUGUUUUAGGAAGGUUGCACAAUCGGUUCGUUAGCUUACUGCGUCAGAGGUUCGUGAGCCCAAGAGACAAAAUGGCGUGGGAUUCGCCAUUGAGAAGCACUGAUCUAGCAUAAGACGAUCCCACAGAAGCCAUUGUUGGCUAGAGUCAGGUUCCACUAAAUCGUAAGUUUAAAUCCUUGAGCUGGUAGUCAUAGGCAUCCUCUUCCACUAUAAUUGGCUUAUUCAGUUUGGGAAGGAUCAUCAAAAAGCCGAGGAUUGAACCCAAGGUGGAACGAGACAACUAGAGGCUGGAAUCUCCCACAAGAAUUUUAUUUCUCUUAACUCUAUUUUUAAUUUCUCAAAUUUUUGAUUCAAUAUUCUUAAUUCUGUUUUUAUUUUAUUUUAUUUUUUUAGAUCCAAACCUUUAAUUUUUUUAUUUUAUUUUUUUCCAGGAACGCAGGUUUUCUUGGGCAAGAUUUUGCUUGGGAUUUCACGGAACAAGAUAUUGUGCAAGUCUAGUCCUUAAGGAUUUUACCCUACUUCCAUUUUACUAUUAUUUUUCAUUAUUUAUUAGGGAUAGGAUAUUUUUGGUGCUUUCAACGACCGCAUCAAAUUUUGGCGUCAUUGCCGGGGACUUGUUUGUGCUUUCAACGACCGCAUCAAAUUUACUAUUCUUUUUUCAUAACUUGUUUUUUGUUUCUUAUGACCAGAUCUGAUCCAGGUACUCUUACGUUCGAUUCAGAAAUUGAGAAGACUACUAGAGCCAAUCGCAAGGAGACAAAGUUACGGAAAAAUCAGUCAGCGGUGGUUGGAACUCAAAGUAACCCACCGCCAGAAAUCGAAGUCGACGACGAAGCUGAGACUAGGGUUAACGAAAACCCUACUCAAACACUUGAAAGAAAAAAAAGCAGAAGUUGACUCACCAGAAGAAGUGCUUAACGCUAGGGUUAACGAAAACCCGAAUCUAGCAUACCAACCAAUGGCUCAAACGAUUCGGCAACUGGCCGAAGUUUCGACAGAACAACCGCCAUUGUGCAUCACGUAUCCUACUGUGGAUACCAAUUUUGAGUUGAAGCCAGGUUUAAUCCAGUUACUGCCAACUUUUCGUGGGUUGCAAAAUGAAAAUCGCCACAAGCAUCUGAAAGAGUUCCAUAUGGUUUUUCUUAGCAUGAAACCUCAGGGGGUAACUGAGGAUCAUAUUAAAUUGCGUGCUUUCCCUUUCUCCCUAGAAGAUUCCUCUAAGGAAUGAUUAUUUUAUUUACCCCCUGGAUCUAUUACAACUUGGGUUGAUCUAUCUCAUUUGUUUCUGAACAGGUUUUUUCCAGCGUCUUGAGUAGCUGAACUAAGAAGAGAGAUCGUUGGAAUAAGGCAAAAAGAAGCUGAGUCCCUUUACGAUUAUUAGGAGCGGUUUAAAAAGUUGUAUGCAAGCUGCCCACAACAUGGUAUAACGGAGCAAUCUCUCCUCUAAUGCUCUUUCGAAGGUUUGAAGCCCAUGGAGAUGAAUAUGGUAGAUGUCGCUAGUGGAGGAGCAUUGGUCAACAUGACUCCCCAACAUGCGAGAGACUUGAUCUCCACGAUGGUUACAAAUUCUCAGUAGUUCUGAGCCAAUUCUGAACCCCUAGAAGGGUUCACCAGCUAAGUAAUUCAACCUUAGAGGAUAAAGUUGAUAGACUUACUAAUAUGAUGAACUCUCUUAUUAUAAAAAAAGCGAAGACAACCCGGUUAUGCGGAAUAUGUGCUACACCUGAUCAUGCAACUAAUGCAUGUCCCAAUUUGUAUGAUGAUACCAUGGCCCAUCUGGAUACUGUGGGAAAUUUUCCUGGGCCGCCAUAAAGGCAAUACGACCCUUACGCUAAUACCUACAACCCAGGGUGGAAGGACCAUCGCAACUUAAGUUAUGGCGCCAAUCCACGAAAUAACCAGCCAUACCAAAAUCAGUUUCCGCAACAAUCGUAAGGUUCAGGUAAUUUUCUAAAAACCAUGGUCAAUAAGUUAGCAGCUAAUGUUCUUGAUUUUCAACAACAAACUCUUAAUUUCCAAAAAGAGAGGAAGGAUUUCCAACAGAAAACUGAGACGUCCAUCAGAGAGUUGACCACAUCGAUCGAGAAAUUGACCUCUCAAGGGAAGCUGCCGUCACAAACAGAACCAAACCUAAGACAAAAUGCAAAUGCAGUGACGUUACGAAGCGGAAAGGUACUGGAACUGAUUCCUGACAGGAAUCUUGACCAAGAAAUCGCCCAGGAAAAACUAGAGAAAGACGAACAGGUCCGGUCGAAGCCUCCAUUGCCUAAAAUUCAACUUCCAUUUCCAGAAUGAUUCAACUAGUGUCGAAGAGGUAAAGAGGACAAGGAAAUCCUCGAAACAUUUAGGAAUGUCGAGAUCAACAUUCCGCUGUUGGACGCCAUCAAGCAAAUACCGCGGUAUGCUAAAUUUCUUAAAGAUCUUUACACCAACAAGUGAAAAUUAACAGGUAAUGAAAGGGUGAAUAUUGGUGAGAAUGUAUCCGUAAUGUUACAGCGGAAAAUGUCGGCAAAAUGCAAGGAUAGGGGCAUGUUUGCAAUACCACGCAAAAUAAGCCAUCUGGGGAUUAAGAAGGCUAUGUGUGAUCUAAGGGCUUCUAUAAAUGUAAUGCCAUAUUCUAUUUAUGAAUCACUUAACGCGAGUUUUUUAAACAAAAAUAGGUGUUAUCAUUCAAUUGGCGGACAUGUCUGUUGCGCAUCCAGAAGGAGUCCUUGAGGAUAUUCUGGUAAAAUUUAACGAGCUUAUUUUCCCUGCAGAUUUUUAUGUGAUCAAAAUGGAGGAGGAUAGCACUCCUGGAUCUUCAGAUCUCCUGUUGGGUCGACCGUUCCUUAGUACAGCUAGUACUAAAACCGACGUUCAAAGUGGAACUCUCACGAUAGAGUUUGAUAGGGAGAUCGUAAAGUUUAAUGUCUACAACGCCAUUAGCCAUCCAAGCGAAAUCUUGAGCGUAAAUUAUAUUGACAUAAUUGACUCUUUAGUGGAAAAGAAUUUUGAGUCAAUUUAUGGAGAUAAUUAUGAACUUGAUAAAUUUGAAUUUGUUAAUGAGUUAUUAUCUCCAAAUACUAAACUGUUACCUUCUGUUAUAUAGGCACGAGAGUUGGAGUUAGAACCCGCAGGAAAGGCAAGGAAAUUAGACAUCCAAGAGUUAGAAGAAAUUUGUAAUAAUGCCUACGAGAAUGCUCGCAUUUAUAAAGACAAGACAAAGUUGUUUCACGAUAAGAGAAUAGCUCAGAAGCAUUUUUCGGUAGGACAAAAAGUUUUACUUUAUAACUCCGUGUUAAAGUUAUUCCCAGGUAAACUUCGAUCACGAUGGCAAGGACCUUUUAUUGUUACUGAAGUGUUCACACAUGGAGCGAUUGAAAUAGAGAGUAAAGAAUCUUCAAAGCAGUUCGUAGUCAAUGGCCAGCGGUUGAAGCCAUUUUAUGAGAAUUUUCAAGCCCACACGGUUGAGAAAAUUCAUUUGGAACCACCAUUGAACCAAUAACGGCGUCGAGCUAACGACGUUAAACAAGCGCUUGUUGAGAGGCAACCCAAUUUUUAUUUUUAUUUAUUUUUUAUUUUAUUUUAUUUAUUUUAAUUUAUUUAUUACUUUAUUUUAUUUUAUUAUUUAUUACUUAUUUGGAUAUUAAUAAAUUUCUCUUCUUUUUCUUAGAUAAAACAAAGCGAAAAUGCGAAGAAAAAGGAAAAAGCUAGAAAAAUAGAACCAAACAACCCUAUCCAUGGUACCAAACAACAUCUAUUCCAGAUACUAUUCUAGGCCAGAAUGCCUGCAGCCAAACUACCCUAUUCUUGCAGCCAACCACCCUUAUCCCUGCACCCAAGCACCACCCCUCAGCACAAAUUAACCCCCCAACCCUAAAAUUUUAAAACAUUUUUUUCUUUCCUUUUCCCACAAAACCACCCUAGCCGCCGCUCUUCCCUUCACGAUUCUCCCUCACCAUCGAUCGCCACCACCAUGGUUUGGACAUGUAGCCGUGUCGCCGCCGAGCCCUCCUUCACCAUGAACCCACGACGGUUCCGUUUCUCCGCACCUCAGCCAUCAUAUACGAUCGACAGUAACAACACGGGAAGUUUUUCUAAACUUUUCUACCUAUUUAUUUCUUUUCGUCCACAUUGAGGACAAUGUGCUUUCAGUAGGGGAGGUACUCUUCUUUAAAACUGUCAUUUUCUGUUGUAAUUUUGGUUGUUGUUGCUGUCACUGUUGUUGUGAUUAUUUUUAGCUGGUGUUGCUGCUUGAGGCUCCAUUUUGUCCAUAUUUGUUUAUUUUUUUUAGAAUCUCCUGCCUCUUUUCAUUCUUAAGAUUUUUACCAAGAAUUGCCUACUGUUUGACCUACAAGCAUGAUUUUUAUUUUCUGAGGAAAUAACGGAUUUUCCAUAAUUGAUGCCAUCUCCACUAUUUUAUUCUUAUUAGGCUAAAAAUAAUUGUGAUUCAUAAAGUUAACUUUAUCUUGCUUUUCGUAAAAUUAAUCAAGUUUAAUACAAAGUGGACACUUAAUAUGUUUGCAUGCUAAAAUAUGUUUAUGACUAUUAAGGUAAUUACUGAAACUUAUUUUUGACACUUGAUUUUUUCUCUCUAAAGUCCUCAUAAAAAAGUUAUUAUUAAAAUGUUGUUUAAUAUUUUCGUGGUUAUGAGUGCAUCUUAAAAACGUGACUGACUAAGUAACCGGGGUAGGGUGCUUGGGUUGUCAUCCUAUUUCACUUCAAAAGGUUGUGUAACAUGUUAGGUAAAACUUCGCUAACCGGAAUUAAUUUUUAAGAACAUGUUGGGCUGAGUAACCGGGGUGAGGUGCUUGGCUGUCAUCUCUCUUCUCGUCAAAAAGUUCGAUGUGUUCUUAAGAAAAAAUUAUAAUAAAUUAGGAGUCUGCUGGGUUGAGUAACCGGGGUGGGGUGCUUGGCUGUCAUCUCUCUUCGCGUCAAAAGGUUCAGUAUAUUCCUAAAGCAUAAAUAAUAUAAAUAAUAAAUAAAUAAAAAUCAAAAUAAAUUAAAAAAGGGAAAAAAAAGAAAAAGAAAAAAAAUAAUUUGGGGACUAAAAGAGGAAACAAAUAGGGUGUCUUGGUAGGUUUGGUAAUUUACCUAAUUUUCAUUAAAUAAUUCAAGUCGAUUCUAAUUUUUUUGUGUAUUCAUUGGAAAACUUUUUCUGUUUUACUUAAAGCAAGCUUAGGGUUCUAUUUAUUUUUCAUAAGCAUUUUGACUGAUUUUUAUAAAACUUUGGAGUGGUAUUUCUUUUAUGGCAGAAUCUAACUUUCACAGUAGAAGGAACCAUACUUGAGGACAAGCAUGGGCUAAGUAGGGGGAAUUUGAUAACACUCUAGAAUAACGCAUUUUUAUGUAUUAAUUAUGCAUUUAUUCUGAGUAUUAUCCUGCUAAUUUGAGUUAUUUAUGAUCUUUUAUCUCAUAGGGACUAAAUUUGAGGCAAAAGCAAAAUUAAUGGCUAAAAGCGUGAAUUUAGAGAUAAGAUGGGCCAAUGUGCGACACAAUGAAAAGUUGGUGUCAAAAGUGCAAGCAUAGAGGAAACAAGGGUUGAAAUGUAAAAAGAAGAGAUUUUAUUCUAUCAGACUCUAUUUUAACUAUAUUAGGAUAAUUAAUAUUAAUAUAAUUAUUAAGGAUUAUUUAAUUUUAGGAUUUUAUUUUAUUUAUCUUUAUUUAUCUUCAAUUAAAUGUAUUUAUCUUUUAGGAGUUUAAGUAGGAUUAGACUAUCUCCCCUAGCACUAUAAAUACGGGGAGAAGUGACUCAAGAGGCAUCCAUAUUUUUCUAUAAACACUCUCUCCCCAAAAGUCUAGGCUUUUGCUCUUCUCAUAUUUCCUUUCAAUAAAAUCUCUAUUUUUAUUUUAUUUAUUUUCUUUUCCACCACAACCAUGAGCCACUAAACACAUCUAGUCGAAAGUUGUCGAUAUUCCCCAAAAAGGGUUCUUGAGGCUUAGAGUCCGUACUUAGCCUCCUCGCUGAGUAUUCAUCGUUUCUCCGCACUACGUGGGUGACGCUUCCGUCCAUGUCCCUUAAGAAGUAAGCUUUUCAACGUAUGCAAAGGCGUUCGCUUUGUAUGUUUUGGGAAGGUUGCACAGUCGGUUCGUUAGCUUACUGCGUCAGAGGUUGGCGAGCCCAAGAGACAAAAUGGUGUGGGAUUCGCCAUUGAGAAGCGCUGAUCUAGCAUAAGACGAUCCCACAGAAGCCAUUGUUGGCUAGAGUCAGGUUCCACUAAAUAUUAAGUUUAAAUCCUUGGAGCUGAUGGUCGUAGGCGUCCUCUUCCACUAUAACUGGCUUAUUUGGUUUGGGAAAGAUCAUCUAAAAGUCGAGGAUUGAACCCAAGAUGAAACGAGACAACUAGAGGCCGGAAUCUCCAAUAAGAAUUUUCUUUCUCUUAACUCUUUUUUUAAUUUCUCAAAAUUUUGAUUCAAUAUUCUUAAUUCUAUUUUUAUUUUAUUUUAUUUUUCAUUUCCAGAUCCAAACCUUUAAGUCUGUUAUUUUUUUAUUUUAUUUUUUUCAGGAACGCAAGUUUUCUUGGGCAAGAUUCUAACUAGGAUUUCACGGAAUAAGAUAUUAUGCAAGUCCAAUCCCUGAGGAUUUAACCCUACUUCCCUUUUACUAUUCUUUUUCAUUAUUUAUUAGGGAUAGGAUACUUUUGGUGAUUUCAAUGACCGCAUCAUUACUAGACAUGGAAGAAACAUUUCAAUUUGUUAUUUGCUCAAAUAUCAACUACAAAAAAGUUUUAUAGUCAUAUGACCCUGGUUUCGAAAAUUGAAUUUCUCUUUAUUGAGAGCUCAUCCUUAGGUAAUUUUUAAGCGAUAAGGGAAGCCCUAGGAUGCUUUUAAAGAUCGAAAUAAGAAUGGUAGCACCAAACCAAAAAGGAGUUGGUCUUGAAUUAGGAGAUUUUGAUUUUGACUUGGGAUUAAUUUAUUGGCAAUCAUCCUUAUUAUGAAAAGUCAAAGAUAUGAGUAUCAAAUAUUGGAAAGUCAAAGAUAUAGGUAUCGAAAUAUUGGCAUAAGAAACCUGAGAUAUUUGCAAUAUUUGGUCACUAAUUGUAUAGUGACUUUGCAAGUUGAUCCCUAAACCACAACUAUAAAUAGGCCUAACCAUAUCUCAUUCAUAGUAUCCUAUAUUUGCCAUUCUCUACUUAAGGCAUUGUUCUCUCUCUCUCUCUCUUUGUAAAUUUUCACUUGUAUUUUGGAGUGAAAUAUAUUUGGUAGUUCCCAAGGACAUAGGCAAAAUUUGCUGAACCUCGUUAAAAUUCUUGUGUUCUUUAUGGUAUUAUUCUGCAUAUUUUGUGAGUGUGAUUGUAGUGAUUUAUUAUGCUACUAAAUUACGAUUGAGGGAUAUUCUGGCUAGGAAAGACCUGGUACUAAGCGAUCAUUGUGAUCCACCUCUCUUUCUUGGGAAUUGAACUUAGUGUAAUUUUUUAGUACAAUAAUUUUACUCAUUUACACGCUUUUGCACAAUAAUUGGUAUCAGAGCUAGAUUCGUACUAGGGGAAUACGAUUAUUCACGACACUAUUCAUGUACAGUAGUUGGGAUUGAGGAGAAAAAUAGAAAAGGCAUCGUCAUCAGCAAAGACUGCUGUGACCAAUCAAAAUUUGAAGUAGAGAAAUUUGAUGGUACCAAUAAUUUUGGUAUGUGGCAAUGUGAGAUCGUGGAUGUCUUAUGUCAGCAAGAGCUGGACAUAGCCCUUGAAGAAAAAAUUGACAAGAUGGAUGACAAGGAGGGGGCCAAGAUCAAUAGACAGGCAUGUGGAACAAUCUGCCUAUGUUUGGUCAAAGAGUAGAAGUACUCUGUCAUGAGGGAGACAUCAGCGAAGAAGUUGUGGGAUACACUGGAAGAAAAGUUUCUAACAAAAAGUCUUGAAAAUAGGCUUUAUAUGAAAAAGAAACUUUAUCGAUUCACGUAUGUACCCGGUAUGUCGAUGAAUGACCAUGUGAACUAAUUUAAUAAAAUUUUAGCAGACUCGCUAAAUUUGGAUGAGAAAUUUGAAGAUGAAGGCAAGGCAUUAUUGUUGUUGAAUUCUCUUCCUGAUGAAUAUGAUCAUCUUACCAUCAUAUUGCUUCAUGAGAAGGAUACGAUCACAUUUGAUGCAGUCUGUAGUGCGUUGUAUAGAUCUGAGACUCGAAAGAAAGAUAAAAGAGAUUACAGAGAUACAACUGCAGAAGUCUUAACAGUAAGAGGUCGUUCGCACAGCAACAAAUCUGGUAGAAAGAGUAAGUCCAAAGGGAGACCUACCAAAGAUGAAUGUGCUUUUUGUCGUGAGAAAGGGCAUUGGAAAAAGAAUUGUCCUAAUUUACAAAAGGGCAAGGGUAUUUCUGAUGCAUGUGUAGCAGAGCAUGAUGAGGAGCCAGACUUUAGCUUAGUUGGUAUUGCAAUGGCAUGUCAUACAGAUGAGUGGAUUUUGGAUUUUGGAUGUACUUACCAUAUGUGUCCUAAUAAGGACUGGUUUUCUAGUCUUAAAGAAUUGGAAGGUGGAGUUGUUUUUAUGGGCAAUGGCAGCGCUUGUAAGACAAUGAGAGUAGGUGCGAAUCACGAUGGCUCAAUUCAAGUCUUGACAGAUGUUCGCUACAUACCUAGCUUGAAGAAAAAUCUCAUCUCAUUAGGGGUCCUAGAAUCUAAAGGGCUCACAAUCACUUUGAGAGAUGGAUUACUAAAGGUAGUAGCUGAGGUAUUGAUGGUGAUUAAAGGCACAAGAAGGAAUAACCUGUACUAUUUAAAUGGAAGUAUAGUUAUUGGAUCAACAUCAAUAGCAUCUGCGAAAUAUACAGAUUUAGAGGCUACCAGGUUAUGGAAUAUACUGAAAAAGCUUUGCAGAGUUUGACGAAACAAGGCUUGUUGAAAGGUGCAAAUUCUUGCAAAUUGGAAUUCUAUGAACAUUGUGUUCUGGGCAAGUAGACGAGGAUAAAAUUUGGUUCAGCAAUUAACAAUACAAAAGGAAUUCUGAACUACGUUCACAAUGAUGUGUGGGGACCUACUAAAGUGGCUUCUUUGGGAGGUAUGCAUUAUUUUGUUACUUUUUUUGAUGAUUAUUUAAGAAAAGUAUGGGUGUAUCUAAUGAAAAGAAAAAAAAUGAAGUUUUGGAUGCAUUUCUGAAAUGGAAGAAGAUGGUGGAGACCCAGACUGGUCGAAAGGUCAAAUAACUUCGAUUAGACAAUGGUACUGAGUAUAAGAAGGAUCCAUUUCUACAAGUAUGUCAAGAUGAUGGCAUUGUGUGACACUUCACUGUUCGGGAUACACCACAAUAGAAUGGGAUGGCAGAACAUAUGAAUCAGACUAUACUAGAGAAAGUUUGAUAUAUGUUGUCCAAUGCUGGAUUGGGCAAGGAAUUUUGGGCUGAGGCAGUUACAUAUAUGUACCAUCUAAUUAAUCGGUUGCCAUCAGUUACAAUAAAUGAAAAAACUUCUAUGGAGAGGUGGACUGGUAAACCUGCCACUGAUUAUGAUUCUUUACAUGUUUUUGGUUCCACUUCAUAUUAUCAUGUAAAAGAAUCUAAGUUAAAUCCAAGAGCAAAGAAAUCAUUAUUCGUGGGUAUAACUGGUGGAGUAAAAGGAUACCGUCUCUGGUAUCCUGAUACAAGGAAGAUUGUUUUCAGUAGAGAUGUGACUUUUGAUAGUAGAAAUGUGACUUUUGAUGAAUCAAUCAUGACGAAGAACAAGGAUUCACAAAAUGAUGACAAAACCAGUAAUACUUUGCAGCAGGUGGAGCUUGAAAAGGUUAAUGAUGAUCCAGCUAAUAUUGAAGGAACAAAUGAUGAAGAAUUUUUGACCCAAGAACUUCUACAGCAAAAAUAUUCAAUUGCAUAUAGGAGGCCAAAAAUAUAUAUUCGUAUGCCUGCUCGCUUUGAUGAUAUGGUGGCCUAUGCACUUCCAAUUGCAGAUGAUGAUGUUCCUUCUACUUACACAAAAGUAAGAAGUAACCCUGAUGGUGUAAAGUGGAAGCAAGCUAUGAAUGAAGAAAUGCAGUCUCUUUAUAAAAAUAGGACUUGUGAGUUGGUGACACUUCUUAAAGGAAAGAAGGCAAUUGGAUUCAAAUGGGUAUACGCAAAGAAGGAAGGAUUUUCUGGUAAAAAUGAAGUUCGAUACAAGGCUAGAUUGGUAGCAAAAGUUUACGCUCAGAAAGAAGAAAUAGACUACAAUGAAGUGUUUUCUCUAGUUGUGAAGCAUUUGUCUAUUCGGAUUUUGCUAGCCUUGGUUGCGCAAUAUAAUCUUGAACUAGUUUAGCUCGAUGUGAAGACCGCAUUUUUAUAUGCCGAUUUGGAAGAUGAAAUCUAUAGGACUCAGCCAGAUGGAUUCAAGGUUGCUAAUAAAGAAAAUUGGGUUUGCAAACUGACAAAGUCACUUUAUGGAUUGAAACAAUCUCCGAGGCAGUGGUACAAGCGAUUUGAUCAGUUCAUGAAAGGGCAAAGGUACACAAGAAGUAAAUUUGAUCAUUGCGUGUAUUUUUAGAAGCUACAUGAAGGAAUUUUCAUAUACUUGCUCUUAUAUGUUGAUGAUAUGUUGAUAGCAUCUAAGAGUAAAGUUGAAAUUGAGAGAUUAAGACUCAACUCAACCUUGAGUUUGAGAUGAAAGAUCUAGGUGAAGCUAAGAAGAUUCUUGGCAUGGAAAUAUGUAGAGAUAAAGCUCAUGGCAGAGUUAGUUUGUCUCAGAAGCAAUAUUUGAAGAAGGUACUACAGAAGUUUGGCAUGAACAAGUAGACAAAAGCUGUAAGUACCCUGUUGGCUUCUCAUUUCAAGCUUUCUGCACAACUAUCUCCUUCGAUGAAUACGGAACAAGAAUACGAGUUACAAGUUCCGUAUUCUAAUGAACUAGGUAGUUUGAUGUAUGCAAUGGUGUGUACAAGACCCGACAUUUCACAGGCAGUUAGUAUAAUGAGCAGGUAUAUGCAUAAUUUUGGAAAAGGACAUUAGCAAGCUGUGAAAUGGAUUCUACGAUAUAUUCAGAAGACCAUGGAUAUUGGAUUACUGUUUAAGCAGGAAACUACACUUGGUAAAGGUGUUAUUGGGUACGUUGAUUCUGAUUAUGCCGGUGUUUUGGACAAACGAAGAUCAACCACCGGUUAUGUGUUUACACUUGCUGGAGGACCAAUAAGUUGGAAGUCUACAUUGUAGUCUACAAUUGCGUUGUCAACCACAGAAGUCGAAUACAUGGCUGUAACAGAGGCUGUAAAGGAAGCUAUUUGGUUACAAGGUAUAGUUAAAACAUUGGGAUUGGUUCAGGAACAUAUUAACGUGUAUUGUGAUAGUCAAAGUGCUAUUCAUUUAGCAAAGAAUCAAGUCUAUCAUGCAUGUACAAAGCAUAUCGACGUACGUUUCCAUUUUGUACGAGAAAUUAUUGAUGAGGGGAAAAUUCACCUUAAGAAGAUUAAGACUGCAGAUAAUCUCGCAGAUAUGAUGACUAAGGUGGUAACAACAAUCAACUUCGAACAUUAUUUGAACUUGAUCAAUAUUCUGCAAGUUUAAUAGUUGAAGAAGGCACUAUCAAGUGUUGUUGACAAAGGCAGAGAGAAUUGUGUGAAGAUAAGAUUAUUCGAAUCAAAUCUUCAAGGUAGAGAUUAUUGCCAAUCAUCCAUAUUAUGGAAAGUCAAAGAUAUGGGUAUCAAAUAUUGGAAAGUCAAAGAUAUGAGUAUCGAAAUAUUGGCAUAAGAAAUCUGAGAUAUUUGCAAUAUUUGGUCCCUAAUGGUAUAGUGAAUUUGCAAGUUGAUCCCUGAACCUCAACUAUAAAUAGGCUUAACCAUAUAUCAUUCAUAGUAUCCUAUAUUUCCAAUUCUCUACUUAAGGCAUUGUUCUGUUUCACUCUUUUUAUAAAUUUUCACUUGUAUUUUGGAGUGAAAUAUAUUUGGUAGUACCCGAGGACGUAGGCAAAAUUUGCUGAACCUCGUUAAAAUUCUUGUGUUCUUUAUGGUAUUAUUCUGCAUAUUUUGUGAGUGUGAUUGUAGUGAUUUAUUGUGCUAUUAAAUUACGAUUGAGGGAUAUUCUGGCUAGGAAAGACCUGAUACUUAAGCGAUCCUUGUGAUCCACCUCUCUUUCCUGGGAAUUGAACUUAGUGUGAUUUUUUAGUACAAUAAUUUUACUCUUUUACACGCUUCCACACAACAUAAUUUGAAAAUUGGAAAACAAGAAUUGAAAAUCAAUAUAUAAAUUAAAGGAAUUCAAAUUGAAAGAAAGGAGAUUCGAUGAGAAAAUUAUAAAAGUCCUUGAAUUAAGUAUUCUAAUUUGAGGACUUAGAUUUGAAGUAAACUGAGUCGAAUUUGAACGAAUUUCCUUCUUGUAAUUCUAAAAUUUUAAAGAUAAAUAGUUAGAGCAAUUCAAGAAAAUUCAUAAUUAAAUAAUUGAGAUUGAAUAUUGGAGAAGAUAAAUAAAAUAAAUUGUCCUACCGAACCCUUUGAAGAUGAACUCUCCAACAAAUCCAACAAAAUGCUCUAAUCAAUUCUCUAAAAAAAUAAUCUUAGUAAAUUAAAGACUGAAGACUCCCACCACAAAAUAUUGAGGGCUUGUUAUUCAGUGCUUAAAAAAAGCACUUCAGACUCCAAAAUUACUUUUGGAAGAAAAUCUGUGCAGAACAAGCUGCUUUUAGCUGAAAGCACUUCUGAAAAGGAGAAGCUAAAAAUUUUAGCUUUUCCUCUCCCAAAAGCAAUUUUGGUGCUUAAUUACUUUUUCACCCCUCCAUUAACAUAGUACUUUCCUUUUUUUUUGGUGCAUAAUUACAAAUGUGUUAAAAUCAUUAAUUAAAAAUAAAAAAAUAUUUUUUAAAAUACUAAUUACAAAUAUUUAAUGGUUAUAUUUAAAUAUUUAAAAUAUAGUUUAUAUAUUCUAAUUAAAUUUUAUAAAUAAUUAAUAUUUAUUGCUUAAAAAUAUUUAAAAUUUAUAUUUCAUAUAUUAAAAUAUUAACAACAAGUUAUAAUAAAUUUUUUAUUAUUCUUACUAAAAUAUAAUAAUAUUAACUAAUUUAAAUAUUAUUUAAAUGCAUAUUUGUUACUUGAUAAUAACAUGUCUAAAAUGAACAUUUUAUUUCUUAAAAUCACUUUUUGACAGCAAUGCUAAACACUCAAAUUUUAAACCAAACUUUUCAAAAGCACUUUUUCACAUCACUUUUCAAAAACAUUUUUCAAAAGCAUUGCCAAACUAGCCCUGAAUCUAACUUCUGAAAAUUAAUAGUAAACAAAUCUUGUAAACCUUGAUGUGGUAGCCACAUAUACUUAGUGUGAUGCCACCAUGUUAACAGCUAAAUUAAAAAUUAUAAUUUUUAAAAAAUAUAUGAUUUUUUCUAAAUAUAAAAUUUUUUAAAAACACAUUCAAAGUUUCAAAAAUUAUAAAUAAACUAGUUUUCUUACUCGUGCGGUACACAGCUUAAUUAGUGUAUAAAUUAAUUAUAUUCUAAGGGCUAUGAAAAUCUGUCCAAAUUUGAAUCUAACAAUAAGUUAUUUAAUAAGUAAAUUUAAUGAAAAAUAGGGAAGAAUAUGUGAGUGUUCUCUAAUCAACGUGAGAUUAAAAUUAACUUUUUAAUUUCUUAAUCUAUAUCUAAAAAUAUAUAUUUUUUAUCUUAUUAAUUUAUAUGUAAAUUAAAAAAUCUAUUGAAGAUGUCAUCAAAACUUAAGUAUGCUUCUUUUUAUUUUAUUAAUUUAUUUUUAAAUUAAAAAAUUAAAAAAAUAUUCUAUUGAGUAUGCUUAUAAUAACUUUUUAGACUAAAAAAAAUAAAUAAAUGAUAGUUGUAGGUUAUUUUCGAACCAAUAAAAAUAUUAUUAUUUCUCUCUUUCCUAUAAUAUAUUAUUUUAUAUAAAUAAUUUUAAACUAUAAACUCUUUCUCAAAAAAUUAUUCAAAGAAAGAAACUAUAAAGAGUUUACGAAAAUAGUAAAAAAAUUUAUACUCAUUUAUAAUAUAAGUGUGAGCUAUAUGAGUGUUCUCUAGUCAAUGUGUGAUUAAAAAUUAGUUAAUAAAAAAUUGGCACAUAUCAAUAAAAUGAAUAUGCCAUGUGUUAAAAUAUUAUACUUUCAUGUCAGUCGAGAGUCCAAGACCUUAUAAUAUAAUAUAUAUAAUUAUCAAAAUUAUAAAAAAUCAAAUACAAAAAAUUAAAAAUAAAAUAAAUAUUUUGAAUAGUGGACAAAAGAAUUAAAUUAGGAUAAAUAUAAAAUGUAUUAAUGUGGGGUUUUGGUUUGAUGAUUGAGCUUGUCUAUGCUUUUAUGUUUGACUCUGUUUUUAUUUGUUGGGUUUAUUGGAAACUCAAAUUGUGGAAAAAGAAAUAUGAUCCCAAUCUCUUUUUGAAUUAUUUAACAUACUGACGGUUGCUUGUCAUGUCAGCUUUCCGAUAGUCCUUCCGGUGGGUCACAAGACAAGACAUAUCACUCAUUUCUUCAUAGGUAUGUCCGGAUGCUUUCUCCUCCCUUUGCUUCUAUCUUGUCUUUACAAUGAGGGUGGGUUUGGAUGAGCGAUUGGGUGCGGUGCUUUUAGCUUACUUUUUAUCUCACGCUACAGUAUCGCUACACUAUCUAAUCUUACCAUCACCGCUAUUUUUACACUAAACAUAGGUAAACGCACCGCCCAUCCAAACUCACCCUGAAAAAAAUUUUCUCAACCUUAAGCUGGACCGAUGGUUGCGACUUGCAAGUGUUGCAUUGUGCAUGUUAAUUUUCUCAGCAACAAGACAAGAAAUGUCACCCAUCACUUUCCAUCAUUUGGGACAUUCUCACCCUCCUUUCAAUUUUAUUAUUUUUAUUGUAGGUAUUUGGUUUUUUUUUUGAGUGAGUUCAGUAGCUAAUCAUUUGCAUUCUAUAGUUUCAUCUAUUAAAUAAUAUAUUUUUAUAAUUUUAAAAAAUAUAUUUGUUAAUUAAAUGAGUAUUUAUCUAAUUUAUAAUAAAAAUCUAUUAAUUUUAAAAAAUAAUUUAGAGAAUAAAAUAAAAAAUUUAAGUAAAGAAAAAAAAGAAACAAUCAAUAAUAUAAUAUUAAAUAAUUAGAUAAAAUAAUCAAUAGUUAGCAACAUAAUAUUAUUAAAAUCACAAAACAAUGGUAAACAACAUUAUUAAUAAACAUUGCUUUACAAAGAAUUAUUACUUUUAACAUAAUAUUUUACAACACAAUGAUAAAUAAUAUUUACAAUUAUAUAAAUAUUAUUAAAACAAAUAUUAGCAAAUAGUAAUGAAAAUCGUAUCUUUUUUUUUGAUAGAAACAAACCCUAUCUAAAACAAUUUUUUUCAAUAAUUCUUGAGACGUUAUUUUGAACAAAAAUAAUUUGUUAAUGGAUAUAUUUAUAGUGCUAAAUAUUAAAUUUAAUUGAUAUAUAAUUAUAACAUUAAUUAAGUGAUAAUUAAUCUAAAAUAACAUAUGUACAAUCAACACCAUAUUUAGUACUGAUAAUGUGUUAAAUAUAAACACCAUUCAUUUCUUUCUUUUUUGAGAAUAUUUUAAUGUUUUUUUGUUCAGUUUCAAAGUUGACACAUGUCUUGGACAAUCCAACACAACUCUAAGGGUCCGUUUGUUUGACUAAAAAUGGUUUCUGAAAAAUGACUUGCUUUUAUGAAAAAGCUAAUAUUUUCUGGUGUUUGGAUGAAUGUAUAAAAUAUUUUCUGUUGUUUGACAGAUUUCCUAAAAAUAUUUCAUAAAAUCUGUUUUAAAUGAAACAAACAUACAUUUGAGAAUUUAUUGUCUUUUUAUUGUUUAAUUGAGUUUAUUUUAUAUCUAUUAAAUUUAUAUUUUAUAUUAUUAUUAUUAUUAUUAUUUUUACAUAUUUUGCAAUGAUAUAUUUAUAAAUAAGUACAUCAAAUUAAAUAUAUAACAGUAAUCAAUUUUUUUAAAAAAAAUAACAGUAAUCAAUUAUUAAGCAAUAUAUGGGCCAUUAUUGCUCUUUAGUCUAUCAACUAAAGUCCUUCCGAGAUCCUCUAUCUCUUUCGCCUACUGGAGAGCCUCAUAAUUGGCUCGGCACCUUAGCCUUUGAAUGGAGUUUGGAAUGUCAUUAUUAGCAAGCCUUGAAUAUGUAUGCGUGAACUUCAUCACCUUGUGUCGCUUUAGUAACGGGAGCACUUCCCUCAUGUAGUAAUUAGCCUGCAAAUGAAUCAAUUUAAGACACCUUACCAAAAAAAAAAACCAAAUGGAAUAUCACCGUUUAUUUAACACCAAAAUUUGAUCAUUUCAAUACCCUAGGCCAGAAAACAAGGGCCUUUACUAGGGGUUUUAUUAUUGAGUACUUAAGGGAAGAUACCCAACAAUAUCAAUAUAAUCUUUGAGUACAUUAAUUAAAUGCCUCCAAUAAAAAAUAUCCUUGAAUUCACUGUGCACAACGUAUUCAAAAUGUAUUCAAAACAUUAAUGAAGAGUUGGCAAAAUAGGUUGAGGUGCACAGAUAUGCUUGAGUGUUGCAUAACUAAACCCCUUUGGCCCUAUAGAAAAUCUCGUCUGGAACCGAUGCUGCUCCACUUGUCACGCUCACUUUUCGAGUUGGAAGUGUCUUUCUAUCAAAUAAUUCAAGGUCUAUUUAUAGAAAAUAAAUGCUAUUCAUCUAAUAGAAACAUAGCAUAUACAUACAUCCCAAUUUAACAGACAAUAACAUUAAAAUAUCCCUCCAGAUUGAGUUUCACUUAUCAUCUAAAUCAGAAAUUAGUUGACAAAAAAAAUUCCAACAAUAGUAUCUUAGAGCUAGCGCAGGUGUAUAACUAUACAACCAACAUAGAUAAGCAUGCUAACCAUUUAAUAAUGGUAAUUUAGCGAGUCAAUAGAAAACCGCUUCCAUUGCAUGUCUCUAUUUAAGUAAGCCACGAGAUCCAUAAGUUGCACAAGGUAUCUUUCACUUUCCAUCACAUUUUGUGCAACUGCAGAGAUAUAAUCAAUCAUCGACGAAAAAAAUGGAUCAUGUAAAGAAAUCAUUCCUCAACUAUAUAUGUUUGGAAGAAAAGAAAUUAACAAGAAACCAAAUAUCAAACUAAUGUUUACAAAGUUCAAUAUAAGGACCAUUAGCCAAAAGUUUCAAACUUAGAACACCCAGAUAGCAAAUUAGGAAGGAUAACUACAUGCAAAUAUGGUUCCUUGAAAGAAUGCAAAGUUGUGAACUACUUGCUCAACCAUAUUAGUCAUAUGUUGGAACCAAUAACCAACCAUCUUGGAUAAUAAAUAUAGGUUCCAUUUCUCUUUUCACUUCCCUUUCUUCUAAGAAAGUUUCAAGAGUUCCCACAUAAACAUUGCAAUCCUCAACAACAUGAAUCGUUCAUAUUUACCUAGUUUUGAAUGGCUAAUCAACAAUAGUAUCACUUCACAAUGUGCUAAGGUGUUUUGUGUUUGAAAACCUAUUUGCAAUUUAGGUUUUUUCCUUUUUUUUUAUCCAACUAAAAACUACAAUUGGAACAAAAUGUAAGAAAUCCAUUUGCAUUAAACAAAAUGUAAGAAAUCUAUGUGUAUUAAACAAAAUGUAAGAACACAUAUGAGCAUGAGAUUUUUUAGUGUCAUAAACAAAAUAAAACUUGGAACAAAUAGAUAAAAUCACCUUUUUCCCUCGAAUAACAACUCUGAGUUCGCCUUGGAUCACCAUGUAUUUUGUGCCACCAAGUCGGAGCAAGUGAUCCAGGUUCAGCAAAGUCAUUCAUGAUGCUAGUGAUUUCUUCUGGAUUGAACUGAAAUCAACAUAAAACCAAAGAACCAAAGGUAUCUUUCUCUGCCGAUUCCAAUUCAACAAAACUUUGGCACAUGCGACUGGGUCAUAUGAGUGAGAAAUGUAUGAUAGUCUUUUGCAAUAAAGGUAUUUUCAAAGACACUUGUAACAUCUCAGAAAUUGGGGUUAGAAGUUUUGAGGUUUGUAGUGAGGGUCAGAGAGUAGGUUGAACAAUUGGGUUCAGUCUCGUGUUUUAGUGUCAAAAUGAGCUUGCUGGUUUGGUGGUUGGAUGUGUGUUAAUUUACCUUUGGGUCCAGGGUUCGAGUCCUCAUGUGUGUUUUGAGAAAUUAAUCUGAUUCUACUUUUGUUUUUAAGUUUUAGAUAGUUAUUUAUUAAUUAAUUAAUUAAUUUAUUUUUAGUUUGGAAAUAGGAAGUUACUCAAAAACUAUUUUCACUUUUGUUUUGUUUAUUUUUCCCCAAUUUUGGAUUUGACCUCUUUUGGCAUCCAUACUUCUCUAUUUCAACAGUUCUUUCUUUUUGUUUUAUUGCUAAUCUUCCCUUUACUCUUUUGUUAUUCAAUUUUUGUUCUUUUUUAUUUCAAAAUUUUGCAAAUAAUUAUUGUUUUCCAAAGUUGUUCCUUGUUCAAUUGCUAAGUAUGGAGUCAAAAACGGUGGAAUUAAGGCGUUUCGAUCUUCGUUGGUGUUUGGAAUCAUAAUUUUAGGUGUGUUUCUAAACUGUUUGAAUUCAGUAGCGAAUUACUGUUGGAUUUUGGGGAAAUCUGCAAAAUUCUGAUAUGUCUUAGAUGGUUAUCGAUUGGGGUUUGUUCUACUGCUGUAAAACUAUGAUUUCGGCCUAUUUUUGUAUGGUUUCGUGACCACACGGCGAUUCACACGACCAUGUGACUUUUGGAAUUAGGAAUUUUGGACCUUUUUUAGUGCCACACGUUCAUGUGGCAACUAUUUGGGGAUUUUGUUGUUUUUCACAUGGGCAUGUGCCUUGGACACUAGGGGUGUGCAAAAUUCGGGUAAAACCGAAAAAAUUCGGUUAACCGACCGAAUUCAGUUAAUCGGUCGGUUAACCAAAAUUUUUCGAUCGGGGGUCGGUUAAUUAUUUUUUGAUUUUUCGGUUAACGGUUAAUUCGGUUCGAAACCGGUCGGUUAACCAAAUUUUUUCGGUUAACCGAAAAAAUUAAUAAAUAAAAUUAUAAUAUAUAAAUAGGCCCACUAUUCACCUAAACCCAAUCUAAACCCAAGUAUUCAACCCAACCCAAUCAUAAAAUUAAAUUACAAAUAAUUUAAUAAAUAAAAAUAAAAUUUUAAAACUAAGACUAAAACUAAAGUCUAAAAGUCUAAAAAUAAUUUAAUUAUGUAGUGAUUCAAUUUGGUUAAUUCGGUUAAUUCGGGUAAUUCGGGUAAUUCGGUUAAUUCGGGUAAUUCGGUUAAUUCGGUUAAUUUGUUUAAUUUUUAACCAAAAAUAAAAAAAAUAUAAUUUUCGGUUAAGUCGGUUAACCGACCGAAUUAACCGAAAAAAUUUCGGUUCAAUUAAUUUUUUUGAAAAAAAUUUUGGUUCGGUUAACGGUUAAAGAUUUUGAAAGGUCGGUUAAUUCGGUUAAUGUUAUUUCGGGUCGGUUAACCGAAUGAACACCCCUAUUGGACACGCGGCCCUGUCCCUUAGCCACACGGGUGUGUGAGUUUUCCAUACGGUUGUGUCUGCUCUGCACUUUAUUUUGGCACUUUUAGACAGUGAGUUAUACGGGCUAAUCACACGGCCAUAUAACUCAGUCACACGGGUGUGUGUCCCCUCCAUACGGGUGUGUGUAGCUUGCACAUGGGCCUUUAUACCACCACGCGAGCGUGUAGACCCCCCACACGUCCUAGGCAUUUCCACACGAUCGUGUAAAAAUUUGACUCGUUUUUAUGUUUCUAUAUGUUUCGACCCUCAGUUGAGCUUUGGUAACUGUGUUUGGGAUUCCAUUACAACUUGGACUUGUGUGUGUAUUUGAAUUCAUAGGAUUAAGUUUAAGUGUUAUUGUGAUGUUACUUUCUAAUUGAAUGCAAGCAUAUCCGAUUCUCGAUUUGAUCAACCAAAUAUGUGUAAUUCUAUUUUUGUGAGAUUAUCUACAUUUAGUGUGUAUUUUGCAUUUGCAUGAAAAUUUUGGGAUUUGGUUAAGAAGAGAAGGAAGACUGAAUUGGCAGUUUAAUUGUAUUGUUUCUGUACAGCGAUUUACCGCAUUAUUUUAUAUAUGUCAGCUUAGCUGCAUAUCAUUAUUUAGGUGGCUUAGUCCCACUAUCGGGGUGUGUAGGGUGGAUGGGCUUAUCAAAGCUCUUGUGGUGUGCAGGGUGGAUGGGUCUAUUAUGACCCUAUUGUGGUGUGCAGGGGGUUAGAGUGGUGUUCUAUUGGAUGGGUGGGAUUUCUACUUGUUGCAUAUUUUACGCAUAUGAAUUUAUGUUUGUUUGUAUGAUCGUCAAGACGUUUAUAAAAUGCUUUGAAUAGUCUGUUGCGAUUGGGUUACAUGAGUGCUUGGAAUAAUAAUAUAAUUGUGUUCUGUUGUUAAUGGAAACUUUCCUUAUGUUGGAUUACCAUUUGAGAUAUUUGUAUGUGAUUUGUAACAUAUGCUAUUUUGGAAUAUACGUUGUGUUACUCCGUCUUUUGCCUGUUGCCAGUUUCGGGCUUACAUCGAGCUUGCGUAGCUCACCCCCUCUUAGUUUUCUCUCUUUUAGGUAAUUCUCGUGUUUGGCAUUGGACUCAGUGCAUCGGUGAUCUCAGAACUUUUACUCGGGUUUUUCUCAAUUUGGAUUGGACUUAUUUAAGUUCAACAGUUUUGUUAAAUCAUUUCCUAUAGGACUGUUGUAAUUUUGUUUUAUGAACUGUGGUAUAACUUACUUUGGAAUAUUUGUUUUGUAAGUGAUUUUGAUUGUUCUAAAAUAUUUGGUUUAAACUUUAAUACGUUGUAAGUUUUAAACAUAAAACACUAGCUUGGGCUUUGCAUUUAAAUAGUAAGUAUUAUGCUAUCCGCUAUGAACUACUUUCUUGUAAUGUCAGUCUUUUAAAUUUCCAAAUCCGUAUGAUUUCAAAAUCGAAGUAAAAAUUGUUAAACGAUAUAGUUCAAUUUGAGCAAACUGUAUUCGGAUUAAGUUUUUAGAAAUUCUUAUGUAAAAUGUUUCAAGAUCACUUCGGUGGUCAAUGUAACCUCUGAGGUCCGGUCAAAACUUCUAGGUCGGGUUUUGGGGUGUUACAAUACUAAAGUUGGUAAGUUAGGUAUUUGCGAACAUUACAUUUUGGAGAAACAAACCCGAGUUAAUUUUUAUUUAGUAGUGCAUAAAACAAAAUAGACUCUAGAUUACACUCAUUCCUGUUUAUGGCUGUCCAUUUUUUGACACCUCAAAAAGAGGUAAUAAAUAUUUCUUAACUUUUAUUGAUGAUCACUCUAGAAAAGUUUAGGUUUAUUUCUUGGAACAAAAAAAUGAAGUCUUUGAAAUCUCCAAAUAGUGGAAGACAUUGUUAGAAAAACAAACCAAAAAAUCCAUGAAGCGGUUAAGAAUGGAUAAUGGUCUUGAGUUUUGUUCAUUAAGGUUUAAUGAUUUCUGCAAACGGGAAGGAAUUGAAACGUAUUGAAUCGUUGUUGGAACUCCGCAGUAGAAUGUAGUUGCAGAAAGAAUGAACAGAUCCUUGCUAGAAAAGGCUCGAUGCAUGCUUCGUAAUGUAGGCUUAGGGAAGGAAUUUUAGGCUGAAGCCAUAAACUUAACAAGUUAUUUGGUAAAUCGAUCUCCUCAUCUAGCAUAGAACGGUAAAGUUCUAGAGGAGAUAUGGUCAGGUAAUUCUCCUAAUUAUUCUAAUAUUAAAAUUUUUGGUUGUCCUGCUUAUGCUAAAGUUAGUGAGGGAAAGCUCGAACCAAAGGCCAUUAAAUGCAUCUUUCUGAGAUACUCUACUGGUACAAAAGGUUUUAAGUUGUAGUGUUUGGAAUUCGAAAAAAUAAUUAUUAGCAAGGAUGUUCUGUUUGAUGAAUUUGUCAUGUUUUGAUCAGAAAAUGGAACUUUUACUUUUAUUUUUAAAGACACAACAAAUCAGAGUGUCUUGAGCAAGGUGGAUUCAAAAGCCAAAAUAGGGGGAGGCAUCCUAGUGAGUAAAUGCCCCACGUCGUAAUGAUGUGACGAACAAAAGUCUUAUCUCGAUGAAGAGUCACACGACAUCACGAUGUCACAACAAAAUUUUGAUUCUUACUAGUUUGAAGUUGUUUCGAAUCUGUUUGGGGCUCCAUCCAAUCUUCAAGUACCCUCACCAUCUUAGUUAACUAAUUAUAAGUUAGCUCGUAACAAGAAAAGACGAGAGAUCAGACCACCACAGAAAUAUUGUGAAGGAAACCUAGUGGCUUAUGCUUUAAGUGUUGUUGAGAGCAUUGAUUCAAUCAAUCCUUCGUGUUAUUAUGAGGCAGUUCAAGCCGCUGAUUCUAGCAAAUGACUUGUUGCAAUGGAAAAAAAGAUGAGAUCACUUCAAAAGAAUGAGACUUAGAGGCUAGUUAAACCACCCAUUGGUAAAAGAAUCAUUGGUUGCAAAUGAAUAUUUAAAAAGAAGGAAGGUUCGGGUCCUAACGACACUAGGUACAAGGCAAGACUGGUUGCAAAGGGCUAUAGUUAAGUUGAAGGAGUUGAUUUUCAUGGUGUUUUCUCUCCCAUUGUGAAACAUACAUCCAUUCGACGGUUUUGGCCCUUGUUGCAUCAAAUAAUCUUAAGUUAGAGCAGUUAGAUGUAAACACUGCUUUUCUUCACAGUGAAUUUGAGGAGGACAUCUACAUGCAACAACUGAAAGACUUCAAAGUUGAAGGUAAAGAAGAUCAUGUUUGUCUCUUACAAAAGUCUUUGUAUAGUUUGAAGUAGUCUCCUCGACAAUGAUAUAACAAGUUUGACUCCUUCAUGUGGAGUAUUGAUUUUUUUCGAAGUAAGUAUAACUGUUGUGUUUAUCUACAAUGUCUUGAUGAUGGUUCUUUUAUAUAUUUGCUACUUUAUGUUGAUGAUAUGUUAAUUCCGGGUAAGAAUCCAUUUGAAAUUGAUCGUCUUAAAACCAUGCUUAACUCUAAGUUUGAGAUUAAGGAUUUAGGUCUAGCAAAGAAAAUUUUGGGGAUGAAAAUUUUGAGAGAUAGACAUUCCGGGAAAUUAUUUUUAUUGCUACAAAGUUACAUCAAGAAGAUCCUUGAGAGAUUAGAGAUGCAAUAUGCAAAACAGGUAAGUAAUCCUUUAGUUACACACUUUAAACUCUCAAUUUUAGAUUCCCUACAGAAUGAAGAAGAUAAACGGUACAUGUCAAAAGUACCUUAUUCAAGCGCAGUUGGAACUUUGAUGUAUUCAAUGGUAUGCAUUCAUCUCGAUAUUUCACAUGCUAUUAGUAUUGUUAGCCGAUACAUGACCAAUCCUGGUAAGUUACAUUGGCAUGCAGUUAGGUGAAUUUUCAGAUAUUUACGAGGUAUUUCUAGCAUAUGCUUAAAGUUUGGAAGAACUCAAGAGGGUUUAGUUGGAUAUGUUGAUUUUGAUUAUACAAGAGAUUUAAAUCGAAGAAGGUCUCUCACAAGUUACCUAUUUGCUUUUGGGAAUUGUGUCAUUAGUUAGAAAGCGAUUCUUUAAGCUACAAUGGCUUUGUCGACUAUUGAAGUAGAAUACAUGGCAAUUAAAGAUGGAGUAAAAGAAGCAAUUUGGUUAAGAGGCUUGUCCAAUGAACUGGUAAGUGAAAAAAGGGCAACUGUCGUAUAUUGUGAUAGUCAAAGUAUCAUAAAUCUCACUUAAUAUAAAAUGCAUCACGAGAGAACGAAGCAUAUAGACAUUCGUUAUCAUUUCGUUUGAGAGAUGAUCAUUUAAGGGGAUGUUAAGAUUCUUAAAAUUGGCACAGAACACAAUCCGGUCGACAUGUUGACAAAGAGCCUUCUAGUUUCAAAGUUUGAGCAUUGCUUGGAUUUGGUAAGUAUCCGACGAAGAAUCAGUUAAGCUCGUAAUAGGGCUUGGCAAGAGAGUUGGUCCAAAUAUGAGUCAAGGUAGAGAUUUGUGAGAGAAUGCCUCUUAUUUUCACCAAAUUUUAUUUUGGCUUUUCUUCUCCUAAUUAAACUCUGUUUUUAGUUUCUCACUUAAACUCUGAUUAACCUAGAGUUGUUGUAGUUAUAUAUGCCACGAAUUUCAACUUAUCACGCAAAUUUUACGUGGAAAAAUUCCUUAAAGAGGAUAAAAUCUACGGGCAAAAGAAGAUUUCACUAAAAAAAGGAGAGUACAAAAUAUGGAGAAAAUUAAAAUAAAAACCCAAAGCCCACAAGAAAAACCCUUCAAAACAGAAAACAAAAUUCUCUCAAACUAAAUAUUUCGUUGUGUAAACUUAGAGUAACUAAAACCUAUUUUUUGAUUCUUUUUUUUUUUACUUUGUUCGUUGUUUAAUUGGGUUUAUCCCUUACAAGAAAAAUAAUUGUCCACUUUUAUUGUGAAAUGGUGAAUUGACAAAAAAAUUAAAUUUAAAUAAAUAUAAAAUAUAUUAAUAUCAUGCGUAAAUUUCACUUGUAAUAUGAGGUUUUGGUUUGUUAAUUGAGUUUGUGCUUUUUCGUCUCUAUGCUUUUAUGUUGUCAUUUAUGUUAGGACUCUGUUUUUAUUUGUUCAGUUUCAUUGAAAACUCAAAUUGUGGAAAAACAAGAAGUUUCUCCAUCUCGUUUUGAAGUAUUUAACAUACUGACGGUUGCAUUGUAAUGCCAACUUUCCGAUUGUCCUUCCGGUGGGUCACAAGGCAAAGAAAUAUUACUCAUUUCUUCAUAGGUGGAGCUAUUCCUAUUAUUACAUCCGGAUGCAUUAUCCUCUCGGCGCUUCUAUUUUGUCUUUACACGGACUCUCUUCUGUUUGGCUACAAUGAAAACUCAGCUUUGGAAACAAAAUUUUCUCAACCUCGUGGUGGACCGAUUUGAUAUAGCGGAGGUUGCAUUGUACAUGUCAAUUUUCUCGGAAUAUCACCCAUCACUUACUUUCCAUAUCGUUUUGUGAGAUUCUUACUAAAGGUGCUCAUGGGCCGGGCCGGGCCGGGAAUUUCGGCCUAUAUUUUUACCCAAACCCUCCCAUAUUCUUACCCUCCUUUCAAUAUUCAAUUUUUUUAUUUUAUUAUAUUAUUAGUUCCCAACAAUGUACGUAUCUGUUUUUAAAAUUCAUUAAAUAAUAAAUUUUUAUAAUUUUAAAAAAAUAUAGUUGUUAAUUAAAUGAGUAUUUAUCUAAUUUAUAAUAAAAGUCUAUUAAUUUUUACAAAAUAAUUUAGAGAAUAAAAUAAAAUUUUUAAAGUAAAGAAAAUAAAAAUAUGAAAAAUAAUUGAUAAUAAAAUAUUAAGUAAUUAGAUAAAAUAAUCAAUAGUUAGCAACAUAAUAUUAUUAAAAUCACAAAACAAUGGUAAACAACAUUAUUAAUAAACAUUACUUUACAGAGAACCCUUACUUUUAAUAUAAUAUUUUACAAUAUAAUGAUAAAUAACAUUUACAAUUAUGUAAAUAUUAUUAAAAACAAAUAUUAGCAAAUGAUAAAAAAAAUCAUAUAUAUAUAUUUUUUGUGAUAGAAACAAACCCUAUCUAAAAUAAUUUUUUUCAAUAAUUCUUGAGACGUUAUUUUGAAUGAAAAAAAAAUUAUUAAUGCAUAUAUUUAUAGUACUAAAUAUUAGUUUUAAUUUAUAUAAUUAUUUUAAUGUCAUUUAAUAUGAAUACAAGCAAUCAACACUAUACUUAUGUGUUAAAUAUAAACACCGUUCAUUUCUUUCUUUUGUUCUUUUUGAGAUUUUUUUUUUUCAGUUUGAAAGAUGACACGUGACUUUGACAAUCCAACUCAACUUUAAAUGCACAAACAAAUACAAGUACAAAAAUGAAAAGACAGAAAAGAACAGGUUAGCAGUGGCGAAAUUAGUGGAGUUCGCGUGGUCUUGACUCCCGUAAAAUGAAUUUUUUAUAUAAAUUUUUCAAAAUUUUUAAAAUUUUAAAUUAGUAAAUGUAAAAUUAUAUUUUAGCUCCCAAAAAAUAUAAUAAUUUGAUUUAAUUCUUUAAAAAUUAUAAUAAUAUAGUUUAUUAAAAUAAUAAAAUUUUAUUUUUUAUCAUAAAAAUUAUAAUUUAACUUCGUCCCUAAAUUUUUUUUUGGUUUCGCCACUGUAAAUUGGUACUUAGUAAUUAUCCAUUGGGUUAUAGACACCAUUUUGUCAUAUAUUUUAGGCCUUUUCUAUUAGAUUGUUUAUUAAUCAAAUUAAUUACAUGUAUUAACAUUUCAAUGCUACCUUUAGUAAUGAUGUUAUUUUUACAUGUAUUUUAAUAUAUGAGUUAGUAAUAAAUUAAUUUAAUUUAUAAUAUUUAGUUAUUCUCAUAACUUAGUUUUAGUAAAGAAAAUAAAAUAUUUUUAUUUAUUUUGAAGAUGUUUUAUUUUUUACAAGAAUUUUUAUUUAUAUUUCUAUUUUCAAGUUUAAAUUUAUUAUAACUAUUCUUAGUUUGAUAUUUAACUAUUGUAAUACAUGUACCCAAUAAGUUUUUUCUUCAUGUUAUUACAUUAAUAACCGAAUGAGGCAUUAAUAUAUUUAUAUUAAUAGUUAAUUUCACCUUAUUUCCUUAAACUAUAACCUUCAUUCUAAAUUAGUCCUCAAAUUUUAAAAUAUUUUAAUUACAUCCCAAACUGUUGAUGUUUUAUCAAUAAGGUCAUCCCAUUACUAAAAAAUAAUUAAUUUAACUGUUAAAUGAAAUGUCAAAUCUUAUGUGUCAUGUUUAAAAUAAAGAAUUGUAAAAAAAAAUGAAUGUUAUAAAAAUAUUGGGUUUGAGGCUUUUACAAAAGUGUUAUUGCUUACUUUCUUCUUUUUUCAGUUUUACUUCAUUUUUAAUUUAAAAGUUAUGCAAUAAAAUUUUAAUUUUUUUAAAAAAUUAUCAUUUUAAAUUAUGCCACAUAAGAUUUGACAUAUUAUUUAAAGGUUAAAUUAAUUAUUUUAAUAAUUGAAGGACCCUAUUGAUAUAUCAUCAAUAAUUUGGGAAGAUAAUUAGACGUUUUGAAAUUUAGGGGUCAAUUUAGAAUAAGUGCCAUAGUUUGGGGAUGUUUAGUGCAAUUAAUCUUAUCUUAAUUGUAUUUAUACUAUGUUUGGAUUAAAAAUACUAAAGGAAAAGAAAAGAAAAAAAAAGGAAAAGAAAAGAGAGGAAAAUUAAGAAAAGUAAAUAAUUAUUUAGUAUAGUUAAAAUUAAUAAAAAUAAAUUUAACAAUUUUUGUUUGGGUAAACUGUAAAAAGGAAAGAUUAAGUAUCAUUAUUUUUUUUACAAUUAUAUUAUUUUCAUAAAACUAUUUAUAAAAGGAAUAGAGAAAAAAAUAUUUUAUGUCUUAAAUUUUUGUUUUGACUUGCCCCCCAAAUUGGGACAGAUAAAAAAACUUAACACAGCAUUGAGUUUGUAACAAUAUUUUUUAUUUUCAUUUUCAGAAAAUAAAUUUAAAUUUUUUUAUUUUUAAAAAAAUUAAAAAAUAUUUGAUAAAUAAAAAAUAAUUGUUUUCAAUAAUGAAAACUUAAAAACAUGUUUGGUAACUAUUUUCUUAAGAUAGAAACGUGGGGAAUAAAAUAAAAAAAAUUACAUUUAUAAGGAUUUGAACGAUGGUAUCGGAUUUAAUAUUUGAAAAUUUGUUAAAAGAAUAGAAUAUUUUUGGGUUUAUAUAUGCUUGAACCAAUACCAAUUCAUUUAAAGUUAAAAUUUUUUAUUUUUAUCAUUUUCACUUUUACAAAACAUUUUAAUUGAAAAUAAUGAAAUCAACUUUUUAUUGUAUUCUAAUUUUCACAUAUUUUUAUUUUUAAGAAAUCAGUUUUAAAAUUUCAACCAAACACAUUGUUUUCCAUGUUUUCCAUUUUACAAUAAAAGAAAAAGAAAAUAUGAAAUGCAAACUAAACUUUCAAGAGAAAACGUAAUACUCAAUUUCUCUUGUUUAAAUUAUAGUCUUUCUGAAGAAAGAAAAGAAUGACGGUUUCCUUAUUUUCCUUUCCAAUCCAAGCAUACAUCAUAUUUUAUCAUAUACAUACACACACACUAUAGCAAAGGUUUUUUCUCUCUUUUAUAAUUAAUUUUGGUAACGUUCAAUUCUAGACUUCUUUGCUUCACAAGUGAUUACACCUCAUCAGAUUCAACAAUUUAAUUAUCUAACUCAAAAUUAAGUAUAUAUAAGAAAAUAUUUGAUAUAUUGUCAGUAAAAUUUUUAAACUCUACAAACAAAAUAAACAGUUGGCAAAUACCUUAUAGGAAUAUAAUAAAUUAUUAAAUAUAUAUUUUAAAAAAGAGACGCAUAUUAAUUUUUUAAAAUUAUUUGUGAAAUAAAAAAAAAAGUUAUGCUGCCAAUGUAUGAAAUCUUUUAAAUAUAUAUGUAUGAUUUACAUUAAUAAAGGCAAAAUUUAAGCAAUAAAAAUUGGCAUAUUUUCAAAACUUUGAUUUUAACUGAUAUUAUCAAGCCUAACUCAGGUUUUUGGUUACCACUUGAAGUUUAUAAUUAAGUAAUUUUUUCUCUCAUUUUUCAUUCGUAAGUUUAGAUAAAUUUAGCAAUCUUUAAUUUACGUAGUAACAUUAUAUUUAAAUAUUGCCUAAUAUUCCGUUAUUGACUUGAAAUAAAAAUAAAAUAUUCCUAUAGUUUAGGUAAUACUUAUUCCCCAUAAUACAAUUGCGAUAUAAUGUAAUUUAAUUGUAUUUUCAUUUAAUUUUUCUUAAAAGCACUUAGUCUAUUGAGUCUUAAUUUGAUUCGCAAUCGACAUUAUUGCUAGUAUAAGACGACAUGGGUUUAAGUGCAUUAAAACUUAUUUAUCCUUCUAUUUAAGGAUUGGAGAUGAAUUAUGUGUAGUUCUAAGCUUCGUAUAAUAUUUUUUUCUUAAAAACACUUGAAAUUUUUCAUAAACCCUAUAAAUACAUUAUUUUCUUCCACCAUACGUGGAGUUUAGAGUUUUGACACACAUUGGUAAGUACUUUCCCAAAUAAGAAUAUCUUUUUCCUAUUAAAUCUUGAAUCAAUUAAAUUAUUUUUUAUUAAAUCUUUCGGAAAAAGUAUUGUGGAGACCCUUAUAUUAAGAGUUAGAUUAUAUUUUGCCCUCUCUACUAAAAAGAUGGACAAAUUAGUCUCUGUACGUUAGAUCAAAGUGCAAAUUAAUUAUUCUGUUUAAAGUUUCAUCCUUUUGUAAUGUUAAAAACUGUUUUUUGUACGUCUCCAUAAGGUACAUGUGACAUCCUACUUGUAACUAUCUGAUUAUUUUAUCAGCCACGCCGAUUUUUAACUAUAACAACCUAAUUUUAGUUAGUGCCGAAAAUUUUGGUUUUGAAAUUGAAUUCCGUCAAAUAAGUUAGUUGGAAAUAUAGUUAAGAUAAUUAAGUGUUUAGUAAGAACUAAUAAUAUUAGUAUAUCAAGAGAUUAAAUUGAUUAAGCUAUUAAAAAUAAUGCAGGAGCUAAAUUGCAAAAUGACUAAAAUUAGUAAAAUUUAAUUGAAGAGAAUUUAAAGAAAAUUUUUUUUAACAUUAAUCUCAUUAGGUUCGUAUCAUAUCUGCUAUUUUUGAUACAAUACCUAGAACUACCUAUAAUCCCUCCCCAGCCCUUAAAUAAGAGAAUAAUGUACUUCAGUGCACUUGAAUCUACGUCCUCUUGCACUUGUAAUAAUACUAAUGCCAAUCGAGUUAAGACUCAAUCGACAAAAUUAAAAGGUUUUAAUGUGCAAUUUUAAAUCAUAGAAAUGCUUUACCAUGAUUAUAUCAUCACAGGCAACUAACCAUCAUUAAACCAUAUUGUUAACUAAUAAAUAAAAGUUUAAUUAAUGUUAAUUUAACUAAUAUAUAUAUAUAUAUAUAUAUAUAUAUAUAUAUAUAUAUAUAUAAUAUGAUAAGUGGGAGAGAGAAGAGGUGACCAUUAUCCUCAUCCUUUCACCACCAAAACCAAAGAAAGGAAAGAAAGAAAAAAUUUGAAAGUUUCCCAAGCUUUUGCCUAUUCAAAAUUCACAAGAAUGAGAUUUUUAUAAAAUUUUUAUGGAUUUUAUUUCAUGAGAGCUUGGUUUAUAUGACCCAACUCUUAGAUUUUUCAAUUACGAUGAUUUUUCAAAUUACUAUUAAUGGAUUUUAGAGAAUUUGAAGCUUGAUAAUGAUGGAUUUAUGAAUGAUAGGCUUGGUAUAUAUAUUAGGACAAUAUUUGAAGGUAGUAAAAAGUGUUAAAUUAAGUUAGAAUUUGAAGUAAGCUUGUUAGUUAAUUUUAUGACAUUAAGAAUUAAAUUGAAUAAAGUGAAAGCUGUUGGAAAUUUGGUUAUAAAUUGAAAGUACAAGGUCCUUAGUGAAUGGAUGUGAAGUCGGAUUUUGAUUCGAUCAGGAAAAUUGAGAGAUAUGAACAUUUUGGAUAUUAUGGUUUAAAAGGGGACUUAAUUGUAAAGAAUACAAAUAUGCUUGGUUGUUGGUAUGUUUUUUAUUAAAUGAGGAAUUAACGUUGAUUUUGUAAUCAAGUUUGUCGUAUGUAGUUAAUGAAGAGAUUGGGACAUCGAGGAUCAAAGGCGAAAAUGGGCAAUGACUAUGAACUCAAUUUGUGCUCUCAUAGUUUGACUUUAACUUAUAUUUUAUUAAAUAGCUAAAUAUAAUCAAACAAGCAUCAAACAGAGAGUUGCAUUGCAACGAAGAACCCUUGGUGUAACAACGUUAACCCAAAAUUUUAGAACCCUUACAAUUUGGUCCUAUUUUGACCUCGAGUUAGUAAAAAAACUUUUGUAAGCUCGUAUAAGAAUUGGAAAUGACUAUGCAUUAUUUAAUGCACUUGUUUUAGUUACAUUUGAAUGUUUAACGAUUUGAAAAUGAAUAUAAUUUGACCUUAGUUAUUUCUGCAAUAAAUGUGGCACCUUGUAACUCGGACGUGAUGAUCAGGUUGGGUAAUGGGUUGUUACAUAUCCGAUCAAGUAAAAUGAACACCUUGAAGGUGAAUUAAUAGAUAAGUAGCAUGAAUGUUAUGUGAAUUGUGAUACUAAUAUAAAACUUAUUAACACAUGAUGUAAUGAUUCCCAACCUUGUCAUUUAUUUUGACUUCAUGUUACUUAUAUAUUGGUUUCAAACUAUGUUAGCACCGUUGAGUAUAAAUACUCAGCGUAUGGUUAUGUUUGUUUCCUGUGCGCAGACCUCAAACAAGUUUCUAUAAAAUCGAAGUUGAAAAGCAUCCAAGGUCACUAGCUCAGCUCAACUUAGCUUGUAUUAAGUUUGGGUUCCUUUUUGGAAGUAUGUAUUAAAUUAAGGACAUGUACCUAGGUUGGUCUUGGCUUGAUGCCUAAAGUAAUGAUUUGAUGUAUUUUGGUAACUUGGCCUAUAAUGUUUUGAAAGUUGAAUUUUAGUUCUUGAUUAAUAGAUAAUCGUGCAUGUUUAAAUGUUUUUGGUUAUACAAUUUGUUUGGUUGGAUGUUGAUGUAUUAGGUGCUAUAAAUUAGUGUUUUAAUGUAUUUUCAUAUGUUAAGUUGAAGGGUUUGCAUUGUUGUAAUGUUUAAGUAUGUUUUACGCUCAAUUGGGUAGAGUUUGAAUGAUUGAAAAUGUGCACCUUAGGCUAUUUUUCCAUUGAGUCUAGAGACAGAAAAAACAUUUCUUGAGACCAUUAGAUAAAAAAAUUACCAUAUUGAGCAUUUGAUUGCUUAAUUUCUCGAGACUUGUCAAGCUAGUCUCGAGACAACCUCAUCUAGGUCUCGAGACAAAGGGCACUUUGUCUCGAGAUAAAGAAACAUUGAAGCUAAAUUUAAAAAAUAGGGGAUGUUGGUAUUGAGACCUAGUCUCGAGAAGUAAUAGACCUUGCCUCGAGAGACAACUUCUAAUGUCUUGAGACAUGUUAACAUCGAAGUGAAAAUUCUCUAAAAAUAAAAUAAUACCUGUCUCGAGACAUGAAGUUCCAUAUCUCGAGAUACAACACUAAAAUUUGAUCAUUGAGUUUGGAUUUGAGUCCUAACUCUAAAUUUGAUCUUGUAUAACUCUGUAAAAUGAUGAAUUUGAAUCUUAAACAUUAUGAAUGUAUAUUUGUGGACAUAAUUGGUAGUUAAAGUGAAUUGAAUGAUAAUUCUGAACUAAAUUUAUGAAUAUGUAACAAAUUAGCCUGAGUUGCUUCGGCAACGGAAUGUGACAUCACACAUUCAACUCUGGCAACCAAGUCGGGUGUAGGGUGUUACAUUAAUAGUAGAAAUGGAUGCAAAUUUUAAUAGAAAAAACCAAUUUGUUCUUUGAUUUAACAUUGAUGGACUACUUUGCCUAAUUUUUUAGUAAAUGGAGGAAAAUACAAUUUGACUCUUAGUAUAGGAGCCUUCAUAGUACAAAUAUUUCCUUUCUCGUUCAUAUUUGCAUUACAUAUUUUCUUUUGCACAAUUUUGUCCUCUGUCUUGUUUAUUGCAUUUCUAACUGAAUUAGUUUCACGAGUUAAUUGGACAUUAGUUCAGUUGGAAAAUGAUUAAAACUUUCCUCCUUUCACAAAAUAAUAUAUAUAAUGUGUAGUCUGAGUUGGUGUCACGAGUUAAUUGGACAUUAACUCAGCUGAAAAAUGACUAAAAACUCUCUACUUUAACAAAAUAAUAAAUACUAUUUUAAUGGUAUUUUUAUAUUUUAUAUAAAAACUAUAUUAAUAAAUUUAAAUUAACAAAUUAUGUAAUUUGAACCUAAACCUUCAUAAUUUUCAAAUAACUUUACCAAUUCAAUCAAACUCUUAUUUGUUUUUAGUAUGAAAGUUUUAAUAAAUAUAUUUGUUAUACAAUUUUUUCACCCACAUCGUGAAUAAGUCAUAAUCUGUUUAUAUUUAAAAGGUUAAAUGUUGUUAUUAGUCUCUGUACUUUGCGAAAGUUAUGGAUUUAGUACUUGUACUUUUCAAAUUUUAAAAUUUUAGUUCCCACCAAAUGAUAAAUGUUAAAUUCAUUAAGUUAAGUUAUUUCCAAAUUUUGAUGCGCCAAACAUAUCAUGUGUGUAAUGCCAUGCCAACUUGCUAUUUUGAUAUGUUAUUCACUAAAAGUUCAGUUAAUGGGCUAACAACUAUCAUUUGCAUCAAGACUAAAAUUUCAAAAUUCGCGAACUAAAAUGAUCCACAUUGGAAAAUAUGGAUGAAAUAUACAAUUGUACGUAUAGUACAGGACUGAUAAUUGAAUUUAAACAAACAGAUUUAACAACUACUGUUUGGGUUAAGAUUAAAAUUUUAAAAUUAAAAAAAGUAAAAGGACUAAAAUUGAUCAAUUCGAAAAAUACAAAUACUAAAAUUGAUCAAAUUAAAGUACAUAGACUAAUACUUUCCUUGACCGUACGACAUCCGUGUUGUGAGCAUAAUGAUAUGGGACAGACACCCACGUUGGUAUGGUUUAGAUAUUAUUGCUUUCCUAAAUUGUAUCCGCCAAUUAACACGUAUUUAGUGUUUAAGGAUUAGGUUUAGGCAGUUGAGAGUACGAGCUUAGUCAGAUGCAUGAUGGGGCUAACAUGGCCUUGUGUAGGCUAUGGGACGCAUGCAGCGUGGGGGUUAGUGGUCUCAACGUGAACCCAUCUUAGCAAAUCAAGAAGACAGUUGGAAAAUUAAGGUCUUUGCAGGAAAAAGCUUUCCUUGCUUGCUAGCUAGCUUCAAUGAAGUUUGAGAAUUACACGGUAUUAGCAACAUUAAAUGCAAAUAAGGGAAAUGUCCUUAACUAAUGGUUUUAGGUAAUGAGUAGGGUUAUAACUCACAAAUGGUCUUUUAAAUCUAAUUUUCUAAUGGCUUAAUAUAUCAUUUCGUACUGUAGUUUGAUACUUUUUUUUAGUGUAGUACCUGUGUUAUUUUUUUGGUUUAAUCUGGUACUUGUAUUUGAUAAAGUUGUACAUUUUGGUACCCAAAGGAUAUGUACGUUGACUUCUUAGUGUUUAAUUCGAGUUUUAGGGCUGAUUUGAUAAAAAUUAAUUACAAAUAUUAUUAGGAUUGAGUUUUUCAUGAUUUUGUUAAUAGAAUAAAUUUAGUUUUAAUUGUAAAUUUGUUUAAUUUUUCAUUUCAUUUGUCAAAUAGUCUGAUCAUGGAUGUGAUUUAAUUUAGGUUUUAGGGUUGAUUUGAUGAAAGUUAAUUGCUAAUAUUAUCAAAUCAACUUUAAAAUUAGAAUUAAACACCAAAAAGUUAAUAUUGUUACUUUUAGGUACCAAAAUAUAUAGCUUUUGUCAAAUAUAUGUACCACAUUGGACAAAAAAAUAACACAUGUACCGCAUUAGAAAAAAGUGUCAAACAUAAGUACCAAAUCUAUACUAGUAUUUAAACUUCUAAAAAAGUUGGUGUUACAAGUCAAUCGGGCACUAACUCGAGAAAAUUACAGGAACGCACAUCCAUAAUUAAAAUAAAGAAUAUUUUUUGAGUGUAUUUUAGUCUUUUCACUUUAAAAAUCAAUAAAAAGCAAGGAUAUGAUAGGAUUCAAACCCAUGCCAAGUGCAUUAGUAAAAUAUUUAAUUUACCACUCAACUAAAGCUUCAUUUUAAUAUUUUUAUACAUUUUAGUUUUAUUAUGCACAUUCUAUUAUCUCCAUUAAAUGUAUAUUUAUAUCUAUCUAUACUAUUGUUUAAACUCUUGACUGAGUUGGUGUCGCAAGUCAACCGAGCACGAACUAAUUGGUUAGGAAAUUAUGGGAAUGCACAUCCUUAAUUAAAAUAAGUAAUAUUAUUCAGGGUAUUUUAGUCUUUUUUAAUUUAAAAAAUGAAUAAAAUUAUGUAUAUGGUGAGAUUUGAAUCUACACCAAUUGCAUUAUAAAGCCUUUAAUUUACCACUCAACUAAACAUUAAUUUUAAUAUUUUUAUAAAUUUUAAUUUUAUUAUGCACAUUUUAUUACCUCCACUAAUUAUAUAUCUAUACUUGUAUAUUAUUUAUACUAUUAUUUCAGCUCCUGCUGAGUUGAUGUCACCCUCAACCGGGUCACCAACUCAAUUAGGAAGUUAUGGGAAUGCACUUUCGUAAUUAAAGUAUAUAAUAUUAUUCGAGUGUAUUUUAGUCUUUUCACUUAAAAAACCAAUAAAAAUAUACAUAUGGUAAAAUUUGAACCCACACCAAUUGCAUUAAUAAAACAUUUAAUUUACCGUGCAACUAAAGUUUUUAUAUAUAUUUUUAUACAUUUUAAUUUUAUUAUGCACACUUUAUUACCUUCAUCAGUUGUAUAUCUAUACUAUUAUUUAAAUUCCUGAUAAGUCGGUGCCACCAUCAACCGGAUCACCAACUCGGUUAGGAAGUUACAAGAAUACCUUUCCAUAACUAAAAUAAGUAAUAUUAUUUGAGGAUAUUUUAGUCUUUUCACUUUUAAAAAACCAAUGAAAAUAUGCAUAUGAUAGGAUUUGAACCCAUACUAAUUGCAUUAAUCAAAUAUUUAAUUUACUAUUUACUAUUCAGCUAAAGCUCUUUAAAAACUAUAUUUUUAUACAUUUUGAUUUUAUUAUGCAUACUUUAUUACCUUCAUCAGUUGUAUAUAUUAAUAAUGUAUUUGAUUGAGUUGGUGUCAAAAUUUAACUCGACACCGACUCAAGAUUGAUGACAACACCAUGAUAAACAAUUUAAUCUAUUUUUUUUUUGUUUUAAUAACUAUAACACCCCAAAACCUAGCCUAGAAGUUAGACCGAAUUCCCGAAGUUACAUUGGCCAACCAAAAUGGUGGAGAUAAAAUUCAUUUAUAACCAUAGAAAAUUCUUCGCUAAACCUUUAUGCUUCGUAAUUUUAGUAGAUUAAAUGAUAUGUAGUUGUUUUUGGAAACAACAUAUAACAGACGUUUAAGAACCGUUAGGAAUAAAUUAAAUCAGUGUUUUUGAACAAUUUCAAAGUAACUUAAAAAUCCCCGUACCACAGUACACAUAGACUUAUGUGAAAAAACAAAGGUGCAUAAUUUGAAUAGUUUAUCAUAACAUCAUUUGAAAUCAACCGAUCAAAGAACUCUGAAACCUCCGCUAUGCCGAGUCUAGCUCUAAAGCACAGAAUGUACCUGAAAGGAAAAACACUACAGAGAUGAGCUACGCAAGCUUAAUGUGAGUACGAAACAUAAACAGAUGGCAAAAGACGGGGUGACACAAUAAAUACUUCAAACAAGCAUAUGUAUAAAUAUAUCACUUAUGAAAAUCUUAAUCGGUAUGUCAAAUACAAUAUCAAACUACUAAAAUGAUGUUCCAAUCAUAUGCAAUAAUCAUAACAUAUUACAUGACAUUAACUAUAUUGUCAAUAACCAAAUGUUCACACAAACAGACAAAAUGUUCUGACAAACAGACGUAUGUUCAGAUGCAAACGGAUGCAUAAGUCAAAAAUCCCACCCCACUAACCAAACACCACUUCGUCCAUCCAGCACACCACAUAAGGGCUAUGGUAGGCCUGUCUACCCUGCACACCACAUAGAACCAUAAUAGGUUCAUCCACCCUACACACCACAACGUGGAACUAUGCCACUUGAGUAACUAUAUACAGCUGAUCUGAUAUACGUAUAGGAUAGUGCGGUAAACCGUUGUACAAAAGUAUCGCAGUUAAAACUGUUAAGUCUAUCUUUCUUCUCUUCAUAACCAGAUCCCAAAAUUUUCAUGCUAUGCAACAAUGCACACAUUGCGCAGACAACAUAUAGAAACGAACAUUAACAUUUCCAGUUGAACAAAUUCAGAUUUGAUUACACUUGUAUUCGAAUGUUCAGUUACGACAAAAAUAACAAACUCAUACUUAUUCAUCACAUAAACGAGCAAUAAAAUUAAAGCCCAUAAAUGUACAUAUAUACACGAACUAAACUACAUCAAGUCCCAAACACACUUACCGAGGCUUGACCGAGGGUCGGAUUACACAGAAAUAUAAAACAGACAGUUUAUGACUCAAAACAAAAAUUCUAUAAAAUAGGGACAUAUGGCCGUGUGCCCUGGCCGUGGGGAGGCCUACAUGCCCAUGUGGAGGAGACACAUGCUCGUGUGACCAAGUUACAUGGCUGUGUGAGUAGCCCAUGUAACACAUUGUCCAAAAGUGCCAAAAAAAAGAGUAGAGGAGACAUGAUCGUGUGAAGAUCUCACACACCCGUGUGGCCAGGCCGUGUAGUACCAAAAAUUAUUGAAAACCCUAAAUUCCCAAUUGCACACGGUUGUGUGCGGCACACGCCCAUCUGGCUGCUCGUGUGAUCAUGAAACAUCAUCGAAAUAGGCUAUAAAUUAUACUUUUGAUGUCUAAACGAUCCCCAACCCUUGGUAACCUAGAAUUAUGCCAAAACAUACAGAAUUUCAUGCAAUUUAGUAACAAUAUGAUACUUCAAAUAACCAAUUUCAGAAACACAUAAGACAUUACCAAAUUCCACCGCAAUUCGAUAUUGAAGUUAAACCGUUUCAGAACACACACCUUAGAACACGAUAUCAAGCACCAAGGACCAAUCGAUUCGCUCUCACCAAACUGUUCGAAAACUCGCUUCACCUUCGAUAAAAUGAAACACACAAGGACGAUCAGUCUUGAUAGACAACACGUAACAUGAGUGUAAAAUGGAAGAAACAAGAAAUCAAAAGAACUGAAAUUUGGGGAAAGAACCGAAAAAUAACAAUGGGAACAACAAAAAAAUAGGGAAAAGGAAAUGGAAAAGAACGUGAAACUGAAAAACCUCCUCUUUCAAAUUUUAAAAGUAAAUCUUUAAAAAUUAAAAAGCAAAACCAAAAUAAAUUAAUUCCUCAAAACACACAUGAGGACUCAAACCCAAAACCCAAAGGUAAACUAACAUACUCACCACCACCGAACCAGCUCAUUCUGACAUUAAAAUGUGAAAAUCCACUCAAUUGCUUGACUUAUUCAAUCACCCUAACCACAACCUUAAAAAUGAAACCCAAAUUUUAGGGUAUUACAAUAACGUUCAUAUUUCAUGUAUUAUUAUUAAUUAGUUUCAGCCAUACAUUUCAUUAUUUUUGUAUAUGAUUUUUAAAUAGACAUUUGUGUUCUAAAUUUGUGGUUUCCACUUGUAUACGUUUGUAAUAGAAUUUCUAGUUAUUAUUAUUUAAGUGUUUUACUGAGUUGGUGCCAUCCUUAAUCGGGUCAUCAACUAGAUAGGUAAAUUAUAGAAAUGCCCUUUCGUAAUUAAAAUAAGUUAUAUUAUUCGAUGGUAUUUUAGUCUUUUCAUUUUAACAAAAACCAAUAAUAUAUAUAGUGAGAUCUGAACCCCCACCAAUUGGAUUAAAAAACUAUUAAAUUUAUCACUUAACCAAAUGUUCAUUUUAAUAUUCUUCAUAUAAAUUUAUUUUAAUAUGCCCAAUUUGUUAUAUCCAUCAGUUGUAUAUAUUAAUAAUGUUGUUAAUUGAGUUUGUGUCAUAAGUUAACUUCACACUAACUCACAAUAGAUAACAACACUCUGCUUAAACAUAUAUGCAAUUGAGGAUACUCAAACAAUCUUAAACCAAAGCUUCUAGUGCUAACUGACUUAGCUAAACUAUCUGCAAUUAAGUUCUCUUCUUUAGGUAAAUUUUAAAUCUUCCACUGCUUAAACAUAUUCAGGACUUGAAUUAUUCUCCUGAUUAGGGUAGAAUUAGAGUUUCUGGAAGAGUCAUUUUGACUAAUGUUAACGGCAUCAAUACUGUCAGUUUGGAUUGAGACUCUAUCGAAUCAUCUUUCCAGAAGAAGGUUUAACACAUCCAAGAUCCCCCAAAGUUUAGCCUCCGUCUUUGUGCAAUUACCUAAAUAUCGACAGAACCCAAUGAUCCACCCACCAUUAUGGUCACAUAUGUAAUCACCAGCUGCUGCAAAACCUUCGUCAAGCCUAACCAAACCAUCUGUUCUCAAACAAACCCAACUAUUAGCUAAAGGUGAAGAGUGGAGAUAACUGUGAAGCUUAUGAAAAGCAAUUUUGGAGAUAAAAAUGUAUUGCUUUGCCCAACUGAACGAAAAUUUAAGAAUCUCAUCAUUACUCUAAGAAAUUCCUUGAAAGGUAAGCAAGUUCCGAUUCUUCUAAAUAUGCCAAGAAUUGAUCCCAAAAAGGCAUGUUCAAUCCAUCCCAUCCAAAAAAAUGUUGAGAUAAUUAUGAUGGUUUUCUGUCAUCCAAAUAGGGGGGGAGCUAUUGUAAAACCUUGAGAGUCUGUCAUUUGGAAUGAGUUUAUCCCAAAUAGUUUUUACAGCAAGGCAAUCUCUGAGUACAUGUAACACAUCCUUAUAAUCCUGCCCACAAAACCCGCAAGCGCUGCUACUCCCAAUGCCUUGCCUCACCCUUUCAGCAUUCGUAAGUAUGCGUUGCUUAAGGGUGAGCCAUAAAAAGAAAUAGAUCCGUUGAGGGCCUUUAAAUUUCCAAGGUAUCUCCAAUAGGUGUUCUUUCAAAUUCAAUAUAACUUUUCGAAUCUUCCCAUAUGCACUUUUAAGAGAAAAAGAACCAGUCAAAGUAGCUCCCCAAGUUAUUUUAUCAGGACCAAAAGAGGGGUGCGGUGGUGGAACACCUGCAAUUUUGUUAAUGAUCUCUUCUGAGAACCACAAUCUGAAAAGGUCCAAAUUCCACGAUCUAUCACCUGCAGCCAUACUACUAAGAGGACAAUCCAUAUUAAGGUUAGAAAGAGAUGGAAUCUGUAUAAAUAAGGGACCACUAUUUGGAACCCAAGGGUCGUGCCAACAUUGGUUACUAUUUCCAUCUCCAAUAGACCAUAAAAGGUUUUCGCGAACGAGGGGUCAUACCUUAGAAAUGGAUAUUCAUAAAAAGGAGCAGCUUCGCCGUGCUAAACACUAUAUAAGGGCUCAACAUCAAUAUUAGGGUUCUUAAAACAUUGUUCACCUAUCUCAAGAACAUCGACAAUUGUUUCCUCUUUACCAUUCUUACCCUAACCAUCACCAAAGGUUAGAUUGAGUGAUUGAGACAAGGCCACAAAAUCUUAUACUUGGCUUGUGCCAAAAGUAGUGCCAAUAAGUGAUGGCAUUGAUUCUUCAAUAGAGGUUUCAUGAGAUUGAGAAAGCUCCCUUGCUUGCUGAUCUUGCCGAGCUUUUUCUCAUAGUCAAAUUAAUAGGUGAUCUUAAUGUGUGCUAUUGAUAAGAAUCAAGAAUUUCAAUAAUCAAGAGACACUUGAAAGCAAAGGCGACUACGAAUAAGGAAGCUUUGAGAGACCAUGUUACUAUUAAAUUGGCGAGGAGAGUUUGUGAUAAGUUAUAACACAACCAAGGUAUUUAUAGGGUCGUGUUUCCUUAUACCCUUUCCUCUAAUAAAUUUCCCUCCAAGAAAAGGAAAUUUGAUCAUCAAAGAUAUACUUUCCCUCCACAAAUAAUGAUUGCAUGCAUGACUAUACCAACUAUAGAGCUUGAUCUCUGAAUUGCAAAACGACACCUAUAAUCGUCAUUCGGAUGCUUCCCAGAACAAGUGCCAAAUGUUAGACUCAACACACCCAACUGAGUUCCUUAGUGCUUCGAACCUUACUGCAUUAAGAGCCUUAGUAAGAUAUCAACAAGUUGAUUUUCAGUCUUCACAUACUGCAAUUCGAUUAUACCAUUUUUCACAAGUUCACGAAUGAAGUUGUGUUGAAAAUCAAUGUGCUUAGUUAUAGAAUGCAUCAUAGGAUUUUUUGAUAUGUUAAUUGCACUUAAGUUGUCACGGUAGUCAGUGGCCUUUGGUAGUGCCAUUCCAUAGUCUGUCAUCAUUUGUUUCAUCCAAAGCAACUGUGCACAACAACUUCCAACUGCAAUAUAUUUUGCCUCAACUGUUGGCAAGAAUAUGGAAGAUUGCUUCUUAUUAUACCAAGAUACAAGAUUAGAUUGGUAAAAAUAGCCUCCAGAUGUGCUCUUUCGAUCAUCUACAUUGCUUGCCUAAUCUGCAUCACUAUACCUAACCAAGAUCAUUGCACUAUCUUUCGACAUUCAUAUGACAAAAUCAAGUGUAUCAAGAACAUACAUGAUGAUGUGUUUUACAUCCUUUACACGUGCCUCUUUGGGGAUACCACAAACACCCACACUGAAGCUUAAAUGAGGCUUGCUUAUAGUCAGGUACAAUAAACUUCCUAUCAUACUCUAGAAAUAGUGGCACCCCUUUUACAUCUGUUAAUUUUCUUGCUUGGUGACAUAGGGGUCCGUGUUGGCUUAGCUAUUUCUAAUCCAAACUUCUCAAUUGAGUUCCUUGCAUACUUCCUAUAAUUUUUAUAGGUCAUAUUAAAACGAAAGAUUAAUUAGAAAAUAUAUUUACAAAAGCUUUGAAUGAAACUCGAGUUAAUCACAUUUAUGAUAAAGUGGGCAUGAUUAAUAUCUAUACCCUAAUACAGUGAAUAUGAGCUUCACAUACAUACUAAUACAUACCUCACACAACCGCAUUCACUUAUAAAGGAAAAAAAUAGAGAAAAAAAGCAGAAAUAGACAUCGAAUGAUCCCCAUUCAUUAUUUACGUAAUUCCCUACUGACAAUACUAUUUACAGUUAACCAUGUUUGAGAGCUUCUUUAACAAAUCUGUCAAAAUCAAUGUAAGAUAAUCCCCCAACUUCAACAGCUUCUUCCGCUUUCUUCUUCCAUUCCAAUGCCUUCUCUUUCUUUUUCUUUCCUUCCUCACCUUCCAUAAUUUCUUUAACUAAAAACUCUAUGUUCUCUCGCUUUACAUCAUGAUCCACCUCCAUGCCAAUGCCCCAAUGAGUACAAGCAUAUCGAUAAUUGGUUUGUUGAUCAGCAAAAAAUGGCCAACAAAUUACUGGCACGCCUCCUGAUAUGGUUUCCACGGUAGAAUUCCACCCACAAUGCGUCAAAAAAACACCAACUGAAGGAUGUGAAAGAACCUGAUAUUGGUUGCACCAGCUUGUUAUCAACCCUCUAUCUUUAUCUCCUCGAGGAACUCUUCAUCCAGAAUUGCAGAAUCACCCAUCAAGAUAUCUGGUCUAAGGAUCCAUAAAAAUGGUGCUUAGAGUUAGCCAAUCCCCAUGAAAAUUCCUUGAGAUGCUUCUCCGAUAUGACAGUAAUGCUUCCAUAGUUUACAUACGCAACUGAAUUGGGUUCCCUUUUGUUAAGCCAUUCAAUGCAGCUUGUAUCUUCUUUCCAUAGGCUUGAGUUCAUUGACUUGGACGGGUCAUCAUGUAUGUGCCUAGCAAGCAGAUGAAGUGGUCCUAAUGUAUAAACUCCAUGGAAUUUGGCAGCGAUUGCUUUUAACACUUCAUGUUCCAACUCUUCAAAUGUGUUGAAGAUGAUUGCUGGAGCAUUUAGGCAAUUUGUGCUUCAGAGCUCAAGAAAUCAAACAUGAUAUCAUUUGGAUUGUUGGCUCCUAUAAAGCUGGGGAGAUCUCUGAAGUUAAUGUUACUCAUUCCAGGGACCUAAUCGAUAGGUUUAUCAAGAGUUCCAUCACUGAGAAAAGUUUCAUCUGACAUAUACAGAAAAGAAGGGUCAAAAUUUUAGUUAUUUUUAGACCAUGUCAAUAAGGACCUACCCUACAAGAGGUGUUAAACAUGCCAAUACUUUGAACACUAUUAGUGUUUUGAUGGUGAGGAGUACUAUUAGAAGGUUGAGGGAGUAAAGUGAAAGCUGAUCCAACAACAUUGGCAUAUUUAAUUUUAGUAGGAUGUUUUUGUAUGUUUUAGCUAAAGAUUUAUUGAAAUCUUAUUUUGACAAUAUAUCAAAAAAAAAAAAAAGAGAGAGAGAGAGAAAAAAUAAUAGAAAAUAAACAUAAUAUGUAGAGCAUAUAUUAUGUAGAUAAUUAAAUUUGUAUAUUGAAAAUGAAAUUAAAAAAAAAAUACUUUCAAAUAAUCAUUGAAGUACUAGAGAAAAUAAAUUGAAGUAGAAUGUGUUAGAAACAAGAAGGCAAGUAAGAAGAAGGAAGGAGGCUACAACUUCUUAUUUUAUUUUAUUUUAAUAGAUUAAUACCCAAACCAAAAUAAAUUUAGACUAAUUUUGUCUAAAUCUUUUUUUUGAACAUUUUCAUAUACAUGAAAAAAUAUCUUUCCCACUAAAUCACAUUGUCAUAUUUAUGAGAAAGUAAUUCUCUAACACAAAAUUAAAUUCCAAAGAAGGUAAAUAAAUUUUGAAAAACAAAGAAUUAGAAUAAAAUUUCAAGUGAUUAAAAUCUCAAGAAAGUACUCACUAUCCAUCGUACCAAAUUCUACUUAGGUGUGCUUGGUAAAGAAGAUGAAAAAAUCGAAAGAAAAAAUAUUCAGUGCUUAGGUAGAGUUGAAAAAUGAGAAAGAAGAAAAUAAUUUUUUUUUGAAAAACACAUAAUUUUGAAGUAAUAUAUAUAUAUUUCAUUUUCUCUCCUCUUACCAUUUCAACUUGGAAUUAUUUGUUUUUAUGCAUUGGGGUAAAAAAUGACCAUUUCUCUUAUAAUUUAUUUCUCUCGUUUUUCUUACUUACCAAGCACUCAAAAUUCACUCUCUUUUUUUCACUUUUUAAUUCUCCUUUACUCUUAUUUUUCCACUUAGCCAAGUGAAUCCUAAGGCUUUGCUUGGUAGAGUUGAAAGAAAAUGGAGAGGAAAGAAAAUUGGAGAGGUAGAAUUUUUUUUUCUUUGUUUGGUAGAGUUGAAAAAGGAAAGAAGAAAAUAAAACAUUUGAAAAAUGUAUAAUUUUGAAUUAAUAUAUGAGGAAGGAUUCUAUGGAACUGUAAUUCCAUGCCAUCCCUAUCUUUUUUAAAUAAGAGAAUGACAAAUUAGAUUUUUCCUUAUGAUAUUUAGCAUUUUUAGUUUGAUUUGAAUUUUUAAGGAGAAAAAAGCUGAUUUGUCAUUCUCCUAUUGGAAUCCCUUCUCUUAAUAUACAUCUCUCUCAUUCUCAUUUUCACUUCUCUCAUCAUUCUUAUUUGAAAUGAUUGAUUUUUAUAUAUUAUAAUAUAAAGUGACCUUUUUCUAAUUUCUUUCCUACUAAGCAUUCUCAACUUUUAUUUUCUUUUCCAUUUUUUCACUUCCUACUUUCACCCCUUUAUAUUCUCACUCAAGCAUACUCUAAGUUCUAAGGAGAGAGGAUUCCAAGCGUGGUUGAUUGAUCGAGACUGGAAAAAAGUACUUAGUUUGGAAUGGAAAAAUGCCUCAUUUAAGCAGUUCACUGAAUUGAAUGUAUCCAAUGAAACUACAAGCUGAGGCAGUCCAAAACUAAACUUCUGGUAUACCAAGUAAUUCAGCAGCCUUAAUAGCAAAGCUCAUAACUCCAUCUGAAAUUAUGCAAGUAACAGUGGGCACAUGGGGUGAGGAGUUUAACUUAGCUAGUAGCUCUAAAAAUGGUGCCAAGCAAUUCUUUCGUACUGAAUCAUUUAGAACUGAAACAUCCUGUGUUGCAUCGCGAUCGGACGGUGUUAGCCCGUCUGGGAUUGUUUCAAACUGAAAAUUAGGGAGACCCAUGACUGUAACACCCCAAACCCGGCCUAGAUGUUAUGACCACAUUCGGAGAUGUCUCAAAGAAGGGUUUUUGAAAAUUGAGUUGUUUCGAUAAAUCAUUCAAGUUUUGCAACUCUUAUUUGUUUAUAACCAUUAUCGAAAGCAUUGUUUAAUUAAUUUGUUUGCCAAAACAUAAAUUAUAGCGAAAGUCACGAAAACGUUAUAUUUGGAAAUCCCGUUCGUAUUUUUCAGAAAACUUUUAUUUUAGUAAAAAUGAUGUGUUUAGCUAAUCGUCUCAAAUAAAGUGUUAAAUAAAAAAUUCCAAACCUUAAAAUUAAAUCAAACCGUCCAGAGAGUCUAAUUAUUACAAAACUCCCAGAAAUAAACCUUAAAUUAAAUAAAAAUUAAAAUCUUAAACAGUUACGAACACGUGGUCACCGUGAGGCUCCAUCACACCGAUCCACUUAAGUCCGUGGAUUACCUGAACAGAACAGACAAAUAGAUUUGAGUUUUCGUAAACUCAGUGUGUAACCCAACAAAAAUAGACAUGCCAUUCAUACAGAUAUCACAUACACAGUUAAAUUCAGAUUCAGAUUCAAAUUUGGACUUAAGUCCUUUUCAGAUACAGAUAACAUAAUCAAAUAUGCAGAAUAGAUAUACAGAAUCCUAGCCACAUCCUCUACACACCAACUCUGACCAUCCCAUCAUACCUUGUGGGGUUAAAAAAACACCCACCCAUCUCUACACACCAUAUCGUAUCAUGACAACACAUAUCAGAUAAUAUGCAACCAAGCUGCCAUAAUAUAGGUGAAGGUCGCCAUACAGAUCACUUCCUCCACAUAAUCAAUUCCCACCCCAAACGUAUAUACAGAAUACAGAUACAUAAAUAUCAUGCUUGCAUGCUAAUAUACAAAUAACAUAUAAAUAUAUACAUAACAUAUUAGCUAGGCAUGCAUAACAGUGUCCUACUCAAAGUAGACUAUCGGAAAAUCAGAUCACGUAAUUUAGGGUUUGAUUAGCCCUUAUUGACCCUACGGUAGGCCCACAGUUAAUUGGAGCGACCCGUGCGAACCUAGGGAAAAUUUUAGAAAUAUAGGCCCAUAUGCCCGUGUGUCCCACACAUCUAGAUUAACCUUGUCCUUAUGGCCCACAUGGCUUGGCUCAAGACUUACACGUCCGUGUGGGCCACACACCUAACUUGGCCUUGCCCGUGUGGCCCACAUGGCCACACUCACACCACCACACGGCCGUCUCUUGCGCACGACCAUGCCCUUGUCAAACACACCAGCACCUAAAAUCAGAAUAGCCAACUCCUUUUAGCAGCCAAUAUCGAGUUCACAAAAACUAAAUUGAUCAACACCCAAAAAAAACUUACCACCGCAAAAAUGGCUACAUGUAGUAAGCUAAACCGUUGGAGUGACAACCACUGCCUCAUUGCCUUCUCCUGCACAACAGAAUUAAUUGAUUACUCACCAUUUAUCGACUAUCAUAACAUUGCCCAUAAUUCCAAAAGUUAAUCGUUAACAAAAAACAAAACUUCACUUACCAAGCCGAUUAACGAACCCAAAAAAAUCACAGUAGCAACAAUUAAACGAGAAAAACAACAGUAAUCAGAAGAAGGAAACAAAAAAUUGAAAGUGGAGGACAAGGAAGGAGAGAAAAAACGUUAGGAAAGGAAGUUUUGGGAAAAAGAAAACAAAAAUUAAAAAAAAUAGAAAUCUGAUAACCUCCUUAAUUUUUCCCCUACUAACCCACUAACUCACAACCACAUCAGAAUUGUAGCUCUACCGAAACUCUAUCAGUCAACCGAACAAAAAUUAACACCCUCACUCACGCAAGGAUUCAAACACAUGACCUCUAACACAAUAACGCUUUACCACUUGAACCAGCAGGCUCGUUCUAAUAUGGGUUAACAGACAAUUUAUAUAAGCCCAUUCAAUAAUGAUAAGGCUAGGAUUAGAAAAUUCACAAAAUUUGCAAAUGUGGGACUUGAACUCAAGACCUCAUACACACACCCAAAACACUUAACCACUAAAUUAAAUACACACUUGUGUCAUGUAUUUACAGAAACAAAAUAAUUAAGCGGGGCGUUACAGCUCUACCCCUAAAAGAAAUUUUGACCUCAAAAUUUACCUGAUCCGAAUAGAUGAAGAUACUACUGACGCAUCAAGUCCUUAGGUUUCCACGUGGCUUCCUCAGUGCCAUGAUUCCGCCACAAAACCUUUACUAAUGGAAUAGACUUUCUCCUCAGAACCUUUACAGCACAAUCUAAAAUCUAAACUAGUUCCUCCUCAAAAGUCAAAUCCGGUCUAACCUUGAUCUCCUCAACAGACACAAUGUGAGGUGGAUCAGACAGAUACUGCCUCAACAUUAAGGCAUGAAACUCGUAAUGGAUACGGUCCAACUCUGGAGGUAGCUUCAACUGAUAAGUGACCGGUUCCACACGCUUCAAAAUUCGAUAAGGCCCAAUGAACCUAGGGCUCAACUUGCCCUUACGAUCGUACCUCAGAACUUUCUUCCACGGUGAAACCUUAAGAAAAAUGAAGUCACCCAUAGAGUACUCAAUAUAUCUCCUCUUUAGAUCUGCAUAAGACUUCUUUUUAUCAAAAGCUGCUUUUAGAUAAUCCUGAAUCAGUCUAACCUUAUUUUCGGUCUUAGAAACCAACUUAGGACCCAAAAUCUGUUGCUCACCCAACUCAGUCCAACAUAGCGGAGUACGACAGUUACGACCAUACAAAGCCUCGUAAGGUGCUAUAUGGAUGUUAGACUGGAAACUGUUAUUGUAGGCGAACUCAGCUAACGGCAGAAAAUCCUCCCAACUACCUCGAAAAUCUAUCACAAAACUCUGAAGCAUAUCCUUCAAUAUCUAAAUCACCCUCUCAGGUUGACCAUAGUACUGAAGUCCAAUAUCGAACCCAGAGCCUCAUGUAGUUUCUUCCAAAACUGAGAAGUGAAGCGAUAAUCUUUAUAAAAAAUUAUCGAAACAGGUACCCUGUAAUAGGCCAAUUUUGGCCUGGCCCAAUAUUAACCAAAUUAAAAAAAACCAAUAAAAAUAAUAAAAUAACAGUCCAUUUAUAAAAUCCAAUAAUAUGUCCAGAUUACAAAAGCCCAAAAUAAUAAAAACCAAUACAAUCCUAGACCCAACUAAAGCCCAGUUUGCAGCCCACAACACUAAAAAACAAACAGAAACCCUAGCCUUCAACCUUCAACCGCCGCUCCUGCCCUUCACGUGCACCAGCCUCUUGCCUCAGGCGCACGUGCGUCUCCACUCCAGCUGGCCUCGCACCUGCAACAAACAAGCAGAAAAGAGCACACUAGAAAGCCAUAACAGAAUACAGCAAAUAAGAUCUGUAAACGGAUUCACGAAUUAAUAGAAAAAUAGAAAAAUAUUUAAUAUCACAAGCAGAGAUCUUAGAAUACAAAAAAGAUAGAUUUAAGGUAGAUAUUUGGUUUUUUUUUCUCUUCUUCUUUGUUUCGAUUCAUUUAAAAAAAUAUAUAGUAAGAAUUAAGAAAAAGAAAAGGGAAGCCUUACCUUGCAACGCCUUCAGAACCGUGCGAAAAUGAGCUAAAAAGCCCUUUAUGGUGCAGCUCCAACCACCGUUCACAGUGGAAUCGCGACGGAGGCAUGGAGGAUUAGCCUCAAUUUAGGAAACCCUAGCAGAGGAAAAAAAUAAGGUUGAUAGUUUUUUUUUUAAAUAAAUGGCAUAAAGUGAUUUAAAUUUUUUGUUUAUUUUAUAAUAGGUACGAAACGGUGUCGUUUAGGGCCUAUUUCAGUAGCCUCAAAACGGUGCCAUAUAAGGCAUGACUCGCGCGGUGACCAGACCCACAGGGAGGAUCCGCGUGCUUUUGAUUAAGGGGCAAUUUGCGCAUCUGGCCCCUCCGCAUUUUUAAUUAUUUUAAUUUAGUUUUUUUAGUUUCUUUAAUUGAUACUUUAGAUUUUAUUUGGUUUCUGAUUUGGACCUGGUGAAACGGCGCGUCUUAAAGGGUGGGGAUAUUUCCCCAUUCGGUCCCUUUGAGUUAUUUGCACCUUUCAAUUGGGUCUUUUAUUUUAUUUUAUUUAUGUUUUUUCCCUCUAAUUUUGUUUUAAAUCCAAUUUAAUCCUUAUUAGUUUAGUUUAAUGUUUUUAAUUUAUUUAAAUGUAUAUUCUUUCAUUUUUUUAAAUAUAUUUAAUUUUAAAUCUAAUUUAAUGAUUAAGCUCAAUUAUUAUUUUAAAUUUAUUAUUAACAUUGUUUAAAUUUAUCAUAUAUUAUUACUUUAAUUUCCAUCUAUUAUUUUAUAUAUUCUUUUAUGUAAUUUUCAAUAUAAUUUUUAUUUUUUUAAUGGUUUUAUUUUAUAAUACAUUUUUUAAGAUUCACUUAUAUAUAUAUAUAUUUCUUUGCUUUAAAGAUUUAUACGAUAAUAUUCUUACAUAAUAUAAUUUUAUACAUAUAUACACAAUUUAUAUUAAACUAUUUUUAUUAUACAUAUAUACAUACAUAAUAUAUUAUUGAUUUCAUAUUAUUAUUAUUAUUUAUCUAUUUCCAUAUAUAUAAUUUAUUUCUUUUAAAGACCCUAUUUUAUUAUAUUUUACUUAUUUCAACUUUUUGCAUAUAUUAUUAUAUAUAUUAUUAUCUAUUUUGAGUUUUUCAUUCCAUAUGUAUUACUUAUUUAGAUUAAUAUAUAUACUACUUUGUAUAUUAUUUAUUUUUGAUUUUCUUCUUAUUUAAUACUCACUUUAAAAUUCGUUUAUAUAUUACUAUUACAUAUAGUAUUUAUUUUUAACUCUAUUUUUUAUUUAUUUCAAACUUUCGUAUAUAUCAUUUAUUUUAAAAUUUUUGUACGUAUACUUUAUUGAUUUAUCAUUUCCCUUCUUUCAUGCCAUUCGUUUCUUUAGUUUUUUUAAAACUUGUACAUUUUGUUUGUGUUUGUGUUUGUGUUAACUUGUGUGGUGUCUUUCUUUUAAUUAGUUUUUUUAACUAGCUUUUAAAUAUUAAUGUUAGUAUUUACAUAAUUAUAUGAUGUGAGAUUAUUGCUAUUAUGUGUAUUAUAUUACUUAUUUAUAUUUAUUGAUUAUUUGUCGUUCAUUAGAGUACUUUUUGGUUUAAGAAUUAUCACUCCGCGUUGUACAUUAUCAUUCUAUCGCAUUUUAUUUGCUUAAAAGGUUAUGUUUAAUAUCAUUUAAGUAUCGAAAUCAUUUUAUUCAAAAGCUUUCAAGAUAACGCAAUACUCGAUAUUUGGGAUCUUCGAGAAGAUUGAGCCCUAACUUAUUGGGUUCCAAUUUUCCUCGUUGAAUCUAAGUAAUCGAGUAUCCUUUUUUAAUCAAAACAUAUAAAUAAAAAGCUUAUUCUCAGGAAUUCGAUACGUGGUGUCCUAACUCAUUGGAUAUGACAUGUUGUUCUCUUGAGAUGAGGAUUAAAAAAAAAGACAAUAUUCUAUGUUUGGAAUUUUAAGAAAUUGUGCCCUAACUUACUAGGCUUCGAUUUUCAACUGAAACAAUUGAAUAUCCUUUUUAAACUUCAUUGCAUGAGUUUAAAAAAAAUCAAAAGACAAGCUCAUUUUCGAGGAUGUGAAACUCAUUGGGCGUGACAUUCUAUCUCCCGAAAUAAGAGGGUCUUAGCAUGCAUUUUGAUUUAUACAAGUAUCUUUUUAAAUAAAAGGAUCGCAUUUUUAAUCUUUUCAAGUGUUCGACAUUCGACAUUAAGACAUUAAUUAAUCAAUUAGGUACCAAUUUUGGGUGUUACGAGGGUGCUAACCCUUCCUCGUGUGUAAUUGACUCCCGAACCCGUUUUCUCAAAUUUCGUAGACCAAAAUCGUUUUCAAGAUGAUCCGAUCACAUCUUAAUAAAAGAUCGGUGGCAACUCCUAUUUUGUUAUUUUAUUUUAAAAGUCAACCCCUUUUAUCAAAAAAGUGGUUUCAACAAACCCCAUGCAGUCUUACAAUCUUGGAGAUAUAGAGCUUCACUAACUUCUACAGAGAGUAGUCCGUCCGAACCGGAAUAAAAUGAGCAGACUUGGCUAAUUGAUCCACAGUGACCCAAACAGAAUCCUUCUUUGUGGGUGUCAAGGGCAACCCACUAACGAAGUCCAUUGUCACUUAUUCCUAUUUCCAUAAAGGAACCUUAACAGGUGGGAGCAAACCCGAAGACAACUGGUGCUUAGCCUUAACCUACUGGCACGUCAGACAAUGAACAAUAAAAUCCAUAACCUCACGUUUAAAACUCGACCACCAGUACAGUUCACAGAGAUCCCGAUACAUCUUAUUACCACCGGGAUGCAUAGUAUAAGGGCUACUAUGCGCCUCUAUCAAAACCGACUGUCUCAGAUCAGAAUCAUUCGAUACGCAAACUUGACCUCAAAAACACAAAACCCCAUCUUUUUUCAGCCCAAAAUCUGAAGUACUGCCACUCUCAACCUGUCGAAAUUGCUGAACCAAGGACUCAUCCGCCAACUGCUUCUCUCGAUUCUGCCCAAUCCAAGUUGGCUUAACUUGUAACACGGCUAACAGACCCCCAUAAUCAAACAAGCUAAGACGAACGAAGAUCGCUUUACGACUAAAGGCAUUGGCCACCGCAUUGGCCUUAUCAGGAUGAUACUUUAUUAUGCAGUCAUAAUCUUUGAGCAGCUCAAUCCACUGAUGUUGUCUAAGAUUCAACUCCUUCUGAGUAAGGAGGUAUUUGAGGCUCUUAUGAUCAAUAUAGAUAAUACACCUCUCACCGUACAGAUAGUGCCUCCAGAUUUUUAACGCAAAAACUACAGCAACCAAGUCGAGAUCAUGCGUUGGUUAACUCACGCAACCAGAACUCACACGAUCUAUUUUUCUCGGAGUAUCUGAAGCACUACUCUAAGAUGCUCAUCAUGCUCGUCCUCAGUCUUAGAGUAAACCAGAAUAUCAUCGAUGAAAAAUACAACGAAUUAAUCUAGAUACGGCUGAAAAAAUCAGUUUAUCAAAUCUAUAAAUGUAGCCGGUGUAUUCGUCAAACCAAAUGGUAUAACUAGAAACUCGUAAUGCCCAUAACGAGUCCUAAAUGCAGUCUUAUGAACAUCAACUUCCUUAACUCUAAGCUAAUGAUGCCCAGAUCAGAGAUCUAUUUUUGAGAACACAGAAGCCCAUCGGAACUGGUCAAACAAAUCGUCGAUCCUCGAAAGUGGGUACUUGUUCUUCACAGUCAGUUUAUUCAAUUGUCGACAAUGAAUAUACAUCAUCAUGGUCCCAUCAUUCUUUUUUACAAACAGAACUGGUGCCCCCCACGAAGACACACUAGGGCAGAUAAAACCAUGAUCCAGAAGCUCUUGAAGUUGAGCCUUAAGCUCUGUAAGCUCCUUCGAUGCCAUACGGUAGGGAGCGAUAGACACCGGAGCUAUACCCGAUAGAAGCUCAAUGCCAAACUCAACUUCUUGACUUGGAGGUAAACCCGUUAACUCCUUAGGAAAGACAUUCGAAAAAUCUCUCACCUUUUUUAUAUCCCCGAUAGAAGAGUCCUAGAAACUGAAACACUGACGAAAGCCAUAUAUGUCUCACACCCUUUUCGAACCAAUUUCUCAGAUACAAGAGCAGAGAUCACAUUGGACAAAUAAUCUCGACGCUCUCCAAUCACAACUACCUCCUUAUCAUCCUCGGUCCUUAGAACAACCCUCUUGGUUGGCAAUCUAAGCUAAUUCUGUGCUCAACUAACAAGUCCAUACCUAAAAUUACAGCCCCUUACGCUUCUAAUGAAACAUUUCUAUAAAGUUUAUUAACCCAAACAGACUGCCCUAACGGACGUAGUACAGUAAUCUCACUAGAAGUACUCUCAACAAAAAUCCCCAGGUUUUUAGAAACAGUACUAGCUACAUAGGAAUGUGUAGAUCCUAUGUCUAUCAGAGUAGUAUAAGAAACAUCAAAAAUAAAGAAUACCGGUGAUAACAUUAGGAGUGUUUCUAUCCACUCAGCGUCGAGCAACAUAAACCAGUGCCGGCUGCCUUGCCUCAGCUUGACGAGCACCUCUGCCCAGUGCUCUCUACUAUCGGCCCAAACCAUUACCAUCCCUAACUGAUCCACGACCCCUAGGUGGCUGCUGAACUACCCUCUAAGGCUGUACAGAACCCAGUCUCAACAUUUGUAUCUGAUCCGUACACUGUGGACACUCUCGAAUCUGAUGCUCCAAAGACCCACACCUCAGACAAGCCUCUAAUCUCCUCCAAUACUCGCCCGGGUGACAAACUCUCGCUUCCUCUGUGGAGUAAUCAAUACCCUCAGAUUAUCCCUCAAGCCAUCCUCAAAACGGACGCAUUUCUCAUACUCAGACGCCACUAUUCCUCGAGCAUAGCAACUCAACCUUAGAAACUCAGCCACAGAUCUAUCACCUUGUGUGAGAUUCAUGACCUCACGCCUAUGAGUAUGUACAUAGCUCGAUUUCACAUACUUCCCCUAAAAAGCAGUAUUGAAUAAGUCCCACUACAGACAAUCUAACUGAGUACCCUCCUCAACUGAUAACCACCACUGAUAUGGCUCAACCGAUAACCUUAAGUUUCUACUCAGAAGUAUAGCCAAUAUCGUUCAUGGUCCUCUUGAUGGCCUCCAACCAAUACUCAUUCAUAGUAGGGGUGACUCCAGUGACACCCGUAAAUAGCUCAACUCCAGUGGACAGGAGUCGUUCAGUUAUCAACCCACGGCCUCCAAAUCCAGAAUGGGGUCUAGCGACUCUAUCCAACACCCUCAACAUGGCUUGGGAUAGUGCGUCAUCCCCAGCUGAGCGGUUUUCGGACCCAGUCUCGGUAGCAGGUGAAAUCGGUGUCUCACUCAUGUCUAAAUUUGGCACACUGCCCAAAGAGAAAGACUCAGCUCAAGCCCCCUACGGCCUCUACCACGCCCACAAAUACCAUGACCGUGAGUUCUACAAGCACUCAUUAUAUAUUUUAAAUUUUAUCUACAUUAUAAAAUUUUAUGUAUCAGUUCUAGUAUUUAUUAGCAGAUAUUUUAUGCGUAAAUUAUUAGAAGUUUAGAAAUGUUUUCAGAGGUUUUAGUCUCUAACUAACUCAGUACAGUUUCAGAAAGUACUAACUAUAAUGUUGUUAAAAUAUUUUAUCUAAGUUCAGAAAUACUUACAAGAUCGGCGCCGGAGACUCGGUGUACCACAUACUUUCUCAUAUUAUCCAAAUUAUUUGAAAAUAAAUUCUUUUGGAAACACAAUUUUAGAACCCAAAAUUCACAGCACGAGCUUUACAACCUGGCUUUAAUACCACUAAAUGUAACACCCCAAACCUGACCUAGACGUUAUGGCCAUAUCCAAAGAUGUCACAAAAAAAGGGUUUUUUGAAUACUGAGUCGUUUCGAUAAAUCAUUCAAGUUUUGUAACUCUUAUUCGUUUAUAACCAUUAUCGAAAGUGUUGUUUAAUUAAUUUAUUUGUCAAAACAUAAAUUAUAGUUAAAGUCAUGAAAACGUUAUAUUUGGAAAUCCCAUUCGUAUUUUUAGAAAACGUUUGUUUUAGUAAAAAUUAUGUUUUUAGCUAAUCGUCUCAAAUAAAGUGUUAAAUUGAAAAUCCCAAACCCCAAAAUUAAGCCAAACCGUCCGGAGAGUCCAAUUAUUACAAAAAUCCCAAAAAUAAACCUUAAAUUAAAUAAAAAUCAAAAUCUUAAACAGUUACAAACUCGUGGUCACUGUGAGGCUCCAUCACACCGAUCCACCUAAAUCCAUAGAUUACUUGAACAGAACAGACAAACAUAUUUGAGUUUUUGUAAAUUUAGUGUGUAACCCAACAAAAAUAGACAUGCCAUUCAUACAUAUAUCACAUACACAGUCAAAUUUAGAUUCAGAUUUAGAUUCAGACUUAAGUCCUUUUCAGAUAUAUAUAACAGAAUCAGAUAUGCAAAACAGAUAUACAAAAUCCUACCCCCAUCCUCUACCCAAAAAAACUUACCACCGAAAAAAUGACCACACACUGUAAGCUAAAUUGUUGGAGUGACAACCACCGCCACAUCGUCUUUUCCUACACAACAAAAUUCAUGAAUUACUCACCAUUUAUCGGCUAUCAUAACAUUGCCCACAAUUCCACAAACCAAUCAUUAACAAAAAACAAAAAUUCACUUACAAAUUUGAUUAACGAACCCAAAAAAAAUCACAAUAGCAACAAUUAAAUGAGAAAAAUAACAGUAAUCAGAAGAAGGAAACAAAAAAUUGAAAGUGGAGGACAAGGGAGGAGAGAAAAAAAGUUAGCAAAAGAAAUUUUGGGAAAAAGAAAAGAAAAAUGAAAAAAAUCAGAAAUCUGAUAACCUCCCUAAUUUUUCUCCCACUAGCCCACUAAAUCACAACCACCUUAUAAUUUUAGCUCUAUCGAAACUCUAUCGGUCAACUGAACAAAAAUUAACACCCUUGCUCACUCAGGGAUUCGAGCACAAGACCUCCUACACAACAGGCUUAUUUUGAUAUGGAUUAAUAAAUAAUUUAUAUAAGCCCAUUCAACAAGGAUAAGGCUAGGAUUAGAAAAAUAACAAAAUUUGCAAAUGUGGGACAUGAACCCAAGACCUCACACACACACUCAGAACACUUAACCACUGAAGCAGAUACACACUUGUGUCAAGUAUUUAUAGAAACAUAAAUAAAUUAAGCGGGGCGUUAUGUUGACAGAAUGUAAGUGCUUAGCCAGUUACAUCAUGGGGCUAACAUGGCCUUGUGAUGGAUAUGGAACGCAUACAGUAUGGGGUUUUGUGGUUUCAACGGAACUCAUCUGAACAAAGUAAUAAAAAAAUUAGAAAAUUAAGGUCAGGGAAAAGCUUUCCUUGUUUGCUAGCUUCAAUGAAGCUUGAGGAUUACGUAGGCAUAUUUAUAUAUCUUUAUAUAUAUAUGCUGAAAAAAAUUGAAAAAAUGUGUACUUUUUUUUAAAUUUACCGAUUUAGAUAUGCUUUUUGAGAGAAAGAAAAAUGCAUCCUAUAGGACAUGUUUUUAUUGAAAAUUAAUAACUCAGAUAUUUUGAUCAGAUGGUUAAAUGUUGGUAUUUUUGUCUUUUAGUCUUAGGUUUGAUUCCUUUCUUACUCACAUCUGUAUUUUUUUAUUUGAUGUUGUUUUUGUUAUGAAUAUCUUAUUAAGUGAAUGUCUAUCAUGAUCAAGAUAAAGUUUUGAUGAACUUUAAAUUCUAAUAGUUAUUAGAAUUAGAUCUCUACUUCUUUUAUACUUUUUAUGCCUAUAAAUAGAGACUUUGAUUAAGCAUUGUAAUCAUCCCUUUGAUUAAUAAAGUACAUUCUCCAUUGCUUUCAUAUUUUCUUUGUCCUUUAUUCUCUCCAUCUUUCUUUAUUUUAUAACAUGUUAUCAGCACGAUGACUUUCUAUUUUUUAAAAAUCUUUUGAAGUCGUCCCACAAAUCAAAUUUAUUUUCACCUUAAACUUUCUCCCUUACAACUUCAUCUUUAAGAUGUUGAAAGAUUUAAUCUCAGAAUGGGUUGUGGUUCUUAUUCCCAAUCUUUGAUUUAUCAUUAUACAAGCAUGGGGAAAGAAUAGAUUUGUGCUCAUGACAAUAGUUAGGGUGAUGACGAUGAUGUUAAAAAUCUUCAGGUAUAUUUUACUAUGUUUUAUUUAUUAUAUCAUGUUUAUUAUAAUUGGAGACUAAUCAUGAUAAUAUGAAUAGGUAGAUUUUGAUAUAAAAUCUCACUUAUGUUUGCAAUGGUGAUUAUGAAAUAAAGAUUCUGUUGGGAUGUUUAUAAGUUCAUCCUGCUAGAUUUGUUGCAUUCCCCGAAGUGAAUGUAAACAUAAAGAAAAUAAAAGAUAUACUCAUGGACCACUAAAAGUGGGAACAUAGUAAUAAAUAAGAAAACAAUGAGAGUUCUCAAGAAAAAUUUUCAAAGCAUAAAGAUAACUUAUGUUAUCAAUGUGAAAUGAAAGAUUAUUGGUCACAUAUGUGGUGUAUGCCCAAAUAUUUUGUCUCUGUUAAUAUUCUUUAAGGAAGGAUAUGAGGAUGUAGUAAUGAAUUUUAUCAUUACAGAUAGAAAAUAUUUAUCUUAUUUGGUACUGAAAUAAACAAAUAUAUUCCAAUAUUUGAUAGUACAAAAUUAGUUGAAAGCUCCAGAAGAGCAAAUAUAUCAAUAUCUAAAAAGCACAAAGUUUGUAAUGGUUAAUGCAUUAGUUUUAAAAGAUAUUCAUAAUGGAUAUCAUAUUGAGAUUGUGAAUGAGAAAAAUAUUAUAUUUCAUAUGAAUCAAAAGAGGAUUGUGUUAUUUAUAUUUUGAAUCGAACUCGGGACCUCUUGCACUUUAAGUGAGAAUCAUACCACUAGACUAAAUGCUUUAUAUUUGAAGAUUUUGACAUAUUACCUUAAGCGAAUAUUACAUAUAAUUCACUACAGUAAAAUAGGAUUUUAGCGGCAUUUUUUAUGCCUAUAGCGCCGCUAAAACUACCGUUCUUUAGCGGCGUUUUACAAAAAACCCCACUAACUUUGGCAGAUUUCAAACAUCCAAUUUUCAUCCAUAGGCAACCCUUCCUGUAACAUGGAAACCAACCAAAAACAACAAAUCUGAUACUUCAAAUUCAACGAAUGAUAUAUGAUAUAAAUUGAUAAAUGAAGUAUAAUUCAAAUUAUUCUUACAGUAAUGUUAAAAUUUAAAAUGUUAAAAAUAUUCAUACAAUAGUUUAAGAUGGCGGAUUUUUCGAUUGCUGAAACAUCUUCAUCAUAUUCUAAAGCUGUAGUUAGAGUGCGUCCUACUUUUUGCUCUGUUCUGCUUCCCUCGCUGCUGCCUCUGCUUUAAGUUGUAGCUGGAGUUCUUCAUAUUUGCUUUGAACCUAAGCUUCUCUCGAUGCUGCCUCCGCUUUAAGUUGAGUAAUUUGCUCAACUGUUGUCGCUUGCAUCUGAGCCAUCUAGUCUCUUAACCUCUGAACUUCAACUUGAGCCUGACUCCCCGAAGGCAUGUAUUGUUGCGAGUUGGAUCCAAAAUAUUGGGUUGGGUUAACAAAAGAUCCUUGAAAUCGAACCCGACCAUAUCUUUUAGGACCAAAAAAUUCAGUAAUAAUCCGAUUAUCAAUGUCGUCAACAUUAACAGAACUAUCACUUGAAGCAAUCGCUUCAUACUCCACCUUUUUAUCCUUUAGUUUCUCCUAAUAAAUUAAUCAAAGAGUUAGAAAUGAAAUAUAUAAUAAAAACAAAUGCAACAUAACUUAACAUUAUUUGCAUUAGAAACGACGAAUUAAACCAUUAUAAUUAAACACUAUAAAUAUUUAAAAUAAUUCAAAUUUUAUUAACUAAACAUACCAUAAUUUCUGCAGCUUCAGAAGUCAUAGGAGAUCCAUCUUUCUUCCUAUGUGUAAUGUUAAAAAGCUAAAGGCGUCCAAUUUUUAACCAGACGGUAGUUCCUACAAUAUAGUAGUAAAAAUAUUAUUUAAUGGAAAGUAAUAAAUAUUUAACACUAUUAAUAAAUUCAAAAUACCUCAGCCUCAGCUACACAAGCAAAACUUUUCGACCCAGCUGUGUGAGUGAACUUUUGUUUUUGCCUGCUGCUUGUUCCAACUCGUUCACGAUCCUACAUUAUGAAAUUAUUAUUACGUAUAUAGUAAAUACUAUAAACUGAAAUAAUUAUAAGAGUUUGGAAGUACGUAAUACCUCUCCUUUAUUUGAAUUCCAAAAUCUAACCGCAUCUUCCCAUUGGAACCUUAGUAUUCCCGGUGGGACAUUUCGCAAUUUCUCUUCGAGGGUUGUUUUUGUCUUAAAAUAUUCUUUCUUUAAAGUACUUUUAUGGUCUCUCCAUCUUUUUCCCAAUUCCUUCUUGACGUAAUUAUCUGAGACCUCUAAAGCAAACCUUGCCUACAAAAAACGCAAGUUUAUAAAGUAAAUAUAAGUGAAACUUAAACCAAAGUAUUAUAAAUUACAUUAACGUUUUGUUACCUUAAUAUUAUCGAUAGCUUGAUUUUGUUACUAUUAGGCAUUUGAUGCCAUGACUCGUAGUUGAUAGGCAACAUAUUGGCAUUUCGUGCUAUAAUGCCCAAAUAUCCUGCUAAAAAUCGAGCUUCUGAUCCAACAGACUGACCAAAACUGUUUCUACAUACUUUGACACGCUCGACAAGAUCUAACUUGUAUAAAUCUUUAAGUACCGUACGUCAUCGUUCUCUGCACAUCCCACCACUUUCAGCUGAAAAAUGGUAUAUUACAAUAUAAGAAUUUGAAAAAGAAAUCAAUAAUAAAAGUCAACACUCAUGCAAAUUAAAUUUAACACUAUUUUGAUUUUCUGCAGGUUCUUCAGGUGUAUUUGGAACAUUCGAAGAUCCAAUAGCAGUCUGUUGUUCACUAUUUGUUUCUUCCGAGUUUAGAGUAUUUUGAACAAUACUUAGAUCUCGCAAUCUUCUUCUAGGAAUUUUAUCUGCAAUACACAUAAAAUAGUUAAAAUUUUAGUAACUAAUUAUAACAAUAACAACACAUAUAAAAUAGUUAAAAUAUUUAAUAAGACCAAGAUUUAAAUUAUGGUAUUACAUAUAAUUAAAAAAUCGUAAAAUCUUACUACAUCAUUAUUUGUAAAUAUCUUCAUCAACAUCCUGGCGAACCCAUUGAAAUUGUGUCCUAGUACUAGGGAUAUUUUCGUUUAAGUUUUGUUUUAGAAAAGGAAAAGUUUCUGAUCUGUCAUCGAUGUCAUCUCUACUUCCAUUGCCCAUGUCAAACAAGUCUCUAGGGAUGUUACAAAGUACAACGUACCAACCCUCAUCAGUUGGAUCUUUUGAGUAAAAAACUUGUUUCACUUGAGAAAAAAAUACAUACGGCUUAUCUAUCAAUUGUUGUCCAGUGUGAAUCAAUCGACAGAAGUUCACCAUUGUAAAACCAAAUUGAUCUUGUUUAAUUCCACGAGCAGUAUUAACAUCAGCCCAGUCACAUCGAAAUAAGACAACUUUCCAUUUAACAUAGUAAUCCAACUUAAUAAUGUCAGUAAGAAGUCUGUAAUACUCCACAGUUCCCUCAACAGGAUUAUUGUCCCUAGCACUAGCAUAACUUGUAAUUGAAGAAUUAAAAACUAUUCCACAAUUUUGAGUUCUCCUCAAUAUCUCCCGAUAUUUUGUACGAAACCUGAAUCCAUUGAUGAGGAAUACACUAUAUCUUUUUACUACUCUAUUCAGACCUUGGGAAAGCAAUUUAACUUCGUCAUUGACGUCCUUCCCACUCCAAACCUGUUGAACCGAAAGUAAAUUGAGUAAUUAUAAAUGUUAUGAGAAAACAUUAUUAUUUUUCAAUGAAAGCUUCAACUACAUACCAUUUGGCUUAACCAUUCAUGAAAAGAUUUUGUGAAUAACUUAUUAAUCUCUCGAUGUUGUAAUAUUCGGGAGCGUGAACGAGAUCUCAAGAUUUGUUUGUACUCACUAUGUUAAAAAGAGGUUUACUUUGUUAGAAGAUAAACAAAUUAUAAUUGAUGAAUAUUUAUCAAAUUCCAGAACUUACUUGUGUAAUGGUUCUAUUAAGUCGUGGUGAAAAAGAACAUAUCGAUGUGCUUGUACCCACGAUCUAUCAUCUAAUUCUGAAAUUUCAACUUUGCCGAUUGGUUCUCCAUAACUUUGAAAUAAAUAUGUUUCGGCCAAGUUAUGAUCAGUGAGCCAAGCAUUUCUACUUGGUCUUUUCAUUCUUGUUUCAACAUCUUCUAAAUAUCUAGAACAGAAAGUCAUACAUUCCUCAGCCAAGUAGCCUUCAGCAAUUGAGCCUUCGGGAUAACGCUUGUUACUCCAAUAAGACUUCAAUUUCGAUAGGAACCUAAACACGAUAUACAACAUUAUCAAAAGUUGUAACUAAAGGCAUAGAGGUGAAUGAACGAAUAAUUUACAAAUAAAUUAACACCUUUCUAUGGGAUACAUCCAUCGAUAGAAAAUGGGUCCACCAAGUAUUGCUUCAUGAGGGACAUGAAUUAGCAAGUGCACCAUAAUAGUGAAGAAGGAAGGUGGGAAGAUCUUCUCCAAAUUGCAUAAAGUCAAUGUGGCUCGAUCUUGUAGCGUCUCAAGUUCUUGAACAUCCAAAACUUUGCCACAAAUGGCUUUCAUUAUAUUGGAUAGUUCAAUUAUACAAGACGUUACCUUUUUUGACAUACAACACCGCAUAGCAACUGGUAGUAAAUCUUGCAUCAAGAUGUCAUAGUCAUGUGAUUUUAAGGCAUAUAGUCUUCGAUCUUUAAGACUCACACAUCGAGAUAUAUUUGAUACAUACGCAUUCGGGACCUUUAUAUCCUUCAACAUCGUGCAGAACACUUUUUUUUCGUCUUCGACAUUGAAAAAAUAGAAGGUUGCAACUGAUAUUUCCCAUUCAAAAGUGCUUGGGGAUGAAGAUCACGCCGAAUUCCCAUGUGGACUAAAUCAAGUCGACUUUGAAGAUUGUCUUUUGACUUUCCAUCGACAUUGAAAAUUGUCCUAAUGAUGUUCUCACAAACAUUUUUCUCAAUAUGCAUGACAUCAAGAUUGUGUCGUAAAAUGUGAUGCUCCCAAUAAGGUAACUAAAAAAAUACUUCUUUUUCUCCACAAGUCCGCCUCAUUAGGAUCAUCUUUUUCAUCAUCAAAUUUAUCCAUUGAUCUUCUAUUUCUUUGCGUGUGGGGUGGUUGAUUCAUCUUCCCAUAACUGAAAUUCAUAUCUUUCAACAUGAACAAGAUUUCAGAUCCACCGGUCUACGAAGGAGCUUCUCUGAACUCUUUAGUACCGUCAAACGGAGUACUCUGAAGUCUACAUCUAUGAUUUCCCAGUAACCAUCGUCGGUGCCCCAUGUAAGAGAACUUCUUCCCAUUAUAUAACCAUUGCGAACAUGUUUGCACGAUACAACAAGGACAAGCAUAACGUCCCUUGGUACUCCAACCAGAUAAAUUGGCAUAAGUCGGGAAGUCAUUAAUAGUCCACAUCAAAGCUGUAUGUAAAUUAAAGUUCUCCUUUCUCAGUACAUCAUAUGUCUUAGCACCAACCCAUAAUUGUUUUAACUCUUCAAUAAGUGGCUACAAAUAAAUGUCAAUAUCAUUUCCGGGACCUUUCUCUCUAGGGAUAAUCAUAGAUAAGAGAAAGGAAGAUUGUUUCAUUCAAAUCCAUUGAGGUAAAUUGUAAAGAACAAGCACUACAGGCCAAGCACUAUACGCAGUGCUCAUGAUUUUGUAAGGAUUAAAUUCAUCAGAUGCUAGCCCAAGCCUCACACUCCUAGGAUCGCUUGUAAAGCUUGGAAAUUUACUAUCAAAUGAUUUCCAAGCUAUAGAAUCCGUAGGAUGCCUUAACAAUCCAUUAUCGGUUCGUUCAUCAUGGUGCCACAUCAUAGACUCGGCUAUCUUCGAUGACAUGAAAAGCCUUUGAAGCAUUGGUAUUAGCAAAAAAUAUUGCAAAAUCUUAAUUGGAUUCUUCCUUGACUGUGCAUCAUUUUCAUCCUAGUUACCAUAUUUUGUAUUUCUAUUCAUCCAACGGGAUUGACCGCAUACAUGACAGCACUGUUUGUUUUUUCGGUCGCCCCAAUACAACAUGCAGUCAUUUGGACAACUCUGAAUUUUGUGGUACCCAAGGCCUAAACCUUUUAUCAGUUUCUUCAUAUCUUUGCAUGAAUGAGGGAUUUUUGCAAACGGAAACAUCUCUCUCAAAAACUCUAACAGCAUUGUCAAAGAGUUUCUGGUCCACCCUCCCAAACACUUUAACUGAAAAAGACGAAUAUAGAAUGACGUUUUUGAAAAUUUUGAUCCCUCAUAAAGUUCUUCAUUCAUUUCAUUAAGCAGCAUGUAGAAAUUUGCCGCUUCUCCAUUUGGCUCUUCAUCAGGUAUACUUCUUCCCGUUUCGGUAAAAUUAUUUCCACCGAUAUUACAAUCAUCAGAUGCAACAAAGUCGGGUGGAAACGAUUGCAAACCAUGACUGUGCAUAUUAAAUGCAUCCCGCAACAUACCUUCCAUGUCAUGUUCUCUAACAGACUGAUGGUAAGCACUACAAGGAUAAGUCGGAUUAAUCGUUGAAGAGGAAGUACUAGGUGUGCAUUCUCCAUGGAAAAUCCAUUUUUUAUACCCCCGAAUAAACCUAUCGACAAUUAGAUGCUCGUAGACAACUUCACGAAAAUGCCAAUUGAUGUUGCCACACUUCUUACACGGGCAAAGAAUCAUAUUCUCUUGGCUUGCAUUUUGAAAUGCAAAAUUUAGAAAAGUUUGUACUCCAUUUCGAUAGUCGUUGCUUACCCUUGACAAAUUCAUCCAAGACCGGUCCAUUUCGUUGUUCUUGAAGUCUAAAGUUGACAAUAAAUUACAUGGGUAAUCAUGGCUAUUUAUAAGUAUAAUUAAGUUAUGUAACUUAUGAUAUGAUAUAUAUUUAUGUAUUAUGCAAGUUAUGUAAGUUAUGUGAGUAUGCAAAUUAUGUAAGUUAUGAUAUAUAUUUUGUAAGUUUUAAAAACAUUUAAAAAUAUUAAAUAUUAACAUCAACUCAAUAAAACACUAAAAUAAUAGUAUAUAGAUACAAAUAUUAUAAUAUAGAUAUUUCCGUUCUAAUGUUUAAAUUUAUUCUUUUUUAAUUUAAAUCAAAGCUCAAGACAUCAACUUAAUUGACUUGUAACAUAAUAAGAAUAUUUAACGCUAAUGAGUUGACAUUAUAUCAUUUCACAAAUUCUAAAAUUUUUAAUUUUUUUAUAUAUAUUGGAGGUGAUUAAAGUAUCAUAAUCAAUAUUAACCAAGCUAAAAAAUCUCAACAACAUAACAUUUACCUAUUUUUUAAUGAUAGUAAGAAUUUCAUCAUACUUUGCUGAUUGAAAUCAAUUUAAUUAAAUCCUAAUAAAAAAGAGUUGUUUUUGCGGCAAUUUUAAAAUGAAAAUUAAUUGUUUUUGCUGCAAUUUUAAGAUGGAAAUUAAAAAAAUUUGACAAGUGUAUUUAUCGUAUAUCUUUACAAAACAUGUCAUACACUAAAUUUAGAGUAGAUCGAUUUUUUAAAAAUUCUCAUAAUUAUUCAGAAAAAUAGUUUUUAUAGCAACCAUUUUCAUUAAGCAUAAUCCUUUAAGUCCUUCCAGAAAUUUGAUGUUGAUGGACUAUAUAUAGCUGUAGUUUUGUCUUUAUUCAGACAUAAUCUUUUAGGUUUUCGUGAGCAAUAACACAUUAUGUUUUGUAAACUUAUGCAUUAUUUAUUCAUUUGAAAAUAUAUAAUUACAACGAACCCAAAUCAAAUCUGAACCUGAAACAAAUUCAAUUCAUAAAAACUUUAAAUCAAUUCAUUUCACAAGUUGAUAAACCAAAAUUAUCCAAAAAAAAAUUAAAAAUUAAAAACUUUCACAGUGGGAAAAUAAAAACUUCAUAUUUAAAUGAGUGAAAGUAACUUUAAUAUAAAAAAAAAACAGUUUUAAAGAAAUUAUGUAUUUAUCGAUGAACCAAACCGAUUCAAACCAGUGAAAGGUUCGGUUCAAUUUGAUUUCAAUUUGGAUCUUUAAAAACCAAAAUACUGUAUAAUAAUUGCAAAUAUAUUCCAUAACCGAUCUUAACAUACAACACUUAGUAGAAAAUGGAGCAAAAAAGAACUUGCAACAACAUUAACCAGAACAUUAACCAGAACUUGCAACAAAAAAGAACUUGCAGCAACAUUAACCAAAUUCCUAAAUAAAACAGUCCCAAAUACAAAUAUACCAAAUUCAAACAUAAAUUUAAAAAAUGAAAAAAAAUAAAGAAAAUAAAGGAUUAACUAACCUUCUGGUUAUCUAGGCUUUCUGUGUAUUGCUUCAAACCAGUGAGAGCUACCAAAUUUGUCGACUAAAUUGCUAAAACUAAAUUGCUACAAUCAAAAUGGAAAGAAAAAAACUACUACUCUGCCUCUGCCUGACUAAAUUGCUAAAACUGCAUGAGAAAGCAGCCAAUAAUGCACUAACGAUAUAUUUUAAAAUAAAUAUACAAAAAAAUCUAUGCUUUCAAAUAGAUUUUAAAUUCGAAAAUUAGAAUAUGCACUAACGAUAUAUUUUGGUGGAUCCAAGUCUGGAAUUAGAAAUAGUUAGAAUAUGCUUACAAAUCGAUUUUAAAUUCGAAAAUUACUUUUACCAGAAACAAAUUAAAAAUAUAUUUCAAUACAAAAUAGAUUUAGGCAUUCGAAAGCAUACAUUUUAUUGUCCAAAUGUAACAGUAAAUGGUUAAAACCCUAAAUAGACUAAAUUGCUAAAACUAGAAUUAAGAGAGAAGAAAACAAUACCUUUAGGAAGAUGAAGAGAAAUUAAAUCACUUCGGAACAGAUUCCACAAGUAAAAGUGUGAAAUGCGAACGUUUUUAGGGAUCAGAAACCCUAAAACCAAAGACAAAUUGACUGGAUUUUAGGGUUAAUAACUUUGAAAUAAACAAAAAAUUCACACAAACAAGAAUAACCCAAACCUUAAACACGCAAAAAAAAAAGGAAAUGAAACUGGUUCAAGCUUACCCAAAAAACAGAAUGUCGUUUACUCUGUCUUCGUCUAAAUGUUGUGAAGAAAUCAAAACAAAUACUCCUAAUAAGUAAAAAAAUGAAAUGAAGAAUCGAAGAAACAAAAAUAAAACCAAUGCUAGUUUUGUAGGUUCGUCUCUGUGAAUGAGUGGAAUUAGGGAUUUCGAAAGGGAAUUAGGGGCUGGGUACGGGAAAGGGGAAAACUGUUAUGUGGAAGAAAAUGACGACGUUCUGAAAAAUUUUAAUUUCCUAAAAAGAAACGGCGUUGUUCUGAACAAUUUUUAAUACAUUGUUGCGGCGUUUUUAGACAAAACGCCACUGAUGCUUACCUUUUGCGGCGAUUCUGAGAAAAUGCUACUAAAAAGUUAAAAUCUUGUAAGCAAACGACGCUGUUUUUGUACACUUUUUAAUACAUUGUUGCGGCGUUUUUAUAACAAAUGCCGCUAUUGCAUACCUUUUGCGGCGUUGUGGAGAAAAAUGCCACUAAAAAUCAAAUUCCUGUAACCAAACAGCGCCGUAUUGUACAAUUUUUAAGACAUUGUUGUGACGUUUUUGGUCCAAACGACACUACUAUUAAAAAAUUUUCAAAUAUUUAAUAGUUUUAUAAAAUUAAAAUUUGAUACAUUAAUAUGACAUUAUUUAAUUGUUCCAUUUUAAAAUUGAAUAUAAUGAUGGAAGAUAAUUCUUCCUCUACUAUUAAAAAAUAAUUUAAUUUGGGUAUCUUAAAAUUUUAAUAAUUCUAUUAAUUAUUUUAAAAUUAGUUUUUUAAAGUACAAAGAUUAAAUUCUAAUGAAUUAAAGUAAAAACCUUAACUUUUUUUCCAUAAAAUAGAAGGAUGAAAUUCAUAAUUAGACCAAAAAAACCCUAAACCUAAGACCCUAAACACCUGAAAACACCUAAAUCCUAAAACCCCUAAACCAUAAAAUUUAAACCCUAAUCUCUAUACCCUAAACCCUUAAACCCUAAUCCCUAAAUUACCAUAAACCCUAAACCUUAAACUAUAAACCUCCACCAUAUUAACUAAACGUUAAACCUUAAACCCUAAACCCUAAACCUUAAACCCCAAACCAUAAACAUACAUCCUAAACCCUAAAUAUAGAUAUUACAGGGGACAAAAGUAAUUAAAAAGAAAUCUUAAAUACUAAACCCUAAACCCUAAACCCCAAACCCCAGACUCUAAACCAUAAAUGCAAAACUCAAAAUUUUAAUCCGAAAAUAAUAAACAUUAUAUCAUAAACCUUAAACCUUAAACCAUAAACGUUAAACCUUAAAUACUAACCCUUAAACCCUAAACCUUAAACCUUAAAACCAUAAAGUGUAAAAUAAAAAGAUUUUUUUUGCGGCGUUUCUUCAAAAGUGCCGCUAAUGCUGAACAAAAAAACAAAAUCGUUUUACUCAUUUUUUUGCGGCGUUUCCCAAAAAGUGUAGCUAAUACUUGUUCUAUAGCAGUGUUUCACAAAAGCGCCGCUAAUUCUCGAUCUAUUGCGGUGUUUGUUAAAAUGUGCCGCUAAUACCACUAAAUCUCAAAAUAGAAAAUGAUGUCAUUUUCUCAACUUUUUUGCGGCAUUUUUCGUAAAGCGCUGCUAAUGUUUGACCUUUAGUGGCAUUUUACAGAAUGCCUCACUAAUUCUCGAACUUUUGCGGCGUUUGUAAAAGAGUGCCGCUAAUUCUAGAUUUUUUACGGCGUUUGUUAAUUAUCGCCGCUAAUUGAAAAAGCAAACGGCGUCGUUUUUCCCAAGUUUUUUGCGGCAUUUUUCUAUAAGUGCCCCUAAUGCUUGAUCAUUUGCUGCGUUUUAGAAAAAGCGCCGCUAUUGCUUACAUAUUGUGGCGUUUGUUAGAAUUCGCCGCUAAUGCUCGAUUUUUUGCGGCGCUUUUCGUUCAAACGCCGCUAUAAACACUGCUAAAAACUUGUUUUGUUGUAGUGAUUGUUUGAAAAUUAUAUUUAUUUAUUGACUUAGUGGGAUUAUAGACUUCACAUUGAUUUAGACAUUUCUAGUAGUAAAUGUCACAAUAGUAUUUACAUGUGGAUACAAAAUAAAAAGAAUGACAAUAAAAUUAUCAAUUGUCAAAAUUUAUAUUUACAUUAUUAGUACAAUUGAAAAAAAUGUUAAAGUAAGCCAGAAGUUUUAUCUUGGAUUACAAAUCAAGCAUUUAAAAGAUGAAAUUCAUGUUCAUUAAUCAACUUAUAUGGAAAAUAUAUUAAAGAAAUUUUACAUGGAUAAAGCACACCUAGCUAUUAAGUACUCUGAUGGUUGUACGAUCGUUAGAUGUGAAUAAAGAUUAAUUUCCUCCUUGCAAGAAUAAUGAAGAGUUUCUUCGUUCUAAAGUACCAUAUCUAAGUGGCAUAGGGGUAUUGAUGUAUCUUGCAAACAACACAAGACCUGAUAUAACUUUCACUGUAAAUUUGUUAACAAGAUUUAGUUCUUCUCCAGCACAGAGACAUUAGAAUAGAAUUAAACAUGUAUUUAGAUAUUUCAGAGGGACCAUUGAUAUGGGGUUAUUUUAUUCAAAUGAUUCAAAAUCUCUAUUAGUUGGCUAUGCUGAUGCUAGAUACUUAUCAGAUUCACAUAAAGGUCGAUCUCAAAUAAGAUAUUUAUUUACAUGUGGGGUUACUGUCAUAUCAUGGCGUUCAACAAAGUAAACAUUACUUGCCACUUCUUCAAAUCAUGCAGAAAUAAUUGCAAUGCAUGAGGCAAGUCAAGAGUGUGUUUGGCUAAGGUUAUUGACCCAACAUAUCCAAAAGAUAUGUAAUUUGCCUUUAUAGAAAGAGAUGUCAACUAUCUUAUAUGAAGAUAACACAAAAUGUAUAGGAAGAGAAGUCAACUAUCUUAUUUGAAGAUAAUGCAGCAUGUAUAGCUCAGUUGAAGGGUGAUUACAUCAAAGGAGAUAGAACAAAACAUAUUUCACCAAAAUUAUUCUUCACCCGUGAUUUUGAGAAAAGAAGUGAUAUAAAUGUUCAACAAAUUCGUUCUAGUGAUAAUUUAUCAGAUCUUUUUGUAAGGCAUUGCCAACUUCAACAUUUGAAAGACUACUACAUAAGAUUGGAAUGCGUCAACUAAAAAAUGUAAUGUAGUGUUGCCAUUAGUGGGAGUUCAAAAUAAGUUGUACUCUUUUCCUUUAACUAAGGUUUUGUCUCAUUGGGUUUUCCUGGUAAAGGUUUUUAAUGAGGCAGCUUCUAAUAAAAGAUUGUGUACUCUUUUUCCUUCAUUAAUUUUUAUCCACAUGGUUUUUUCUAAUAAGGUUUUAACGAGGCAUAUUAUCUACAAAUGGACAUCCAAGGGGGAGUGUUAUGAAUAUCUUAUUAAGUGGAUGUCCAUCAUGAUCAAAAUAAUGUUUUGAUGUACUUUAAAUUCUAAUAGUUAUUAGAAUUAGAUCUCUACUUCUUUUAUACUUCUUAUGCAUAUAAAUAGAGACUUUGACGAAGCAUUGUAAUUAUCCAUUUGAUUAAUAAAGUACAUUAUUUAUUGCUUUCAUAUUUUCAUAUUUUCUUUUUUCUCUCCAUUUUUCUUUAUUUUAUAACAGUUUUAAGUUUAUUUUUUAUUUUUAAUUAUCAUUUUUUACACAUAAACUCUUUUGGUUAGAUGGUUAGAUAAUUGGGAUUUCAUCAUUGAGCUUUAAGUUUAAUUCCUCUUAUAAGCAUUUUAAUAUGUAUUUUUUAUUUCAUGUUGUUUCAAACUUUUUUUUUAUUUUUAAUUAAUGUUUAUAAUUAAUAUGUAUAUUGUUUUCAAGUUUUUUAAUUCAUCUCGCUUUUAUUUAUAAAAUCAUUUAAUAAAGUGAAUUUGUUUACAAAAAUUAACUAGUCUUUAGAUAUAUUUUUCUUUUUAUAUAAGAUUUAUAUGUCAAAUAUUUAUUUUCUCCACCUAUAUUGUGGGGUAUGGUGAUUUCUAAUAUUAUAAAAUCAAAUAAUUAUUUCAAAUAUCAUUGUUUUUUCAUCUACAUUGUGGGUAUGAUAUUUCAAAUAUUUUUAUAUGUGAAAUAUUUCAAAUAUAAUUAUGUUUAUAUGUGAAAUGUUUCAAAUAAUUAUUUCAAAUACACUUACAAAAAUAUAUAAUAUCAUAUAAUAUGCGAAUUCACUACACUUAUGAUGUGGAUUGAAAGAUAAAUAUUACAAAUAUAAAAAUUAUAUUUACUAAAAAUAAUGAUAUUUUCAAUAAUUCUUUAACUUUAUAAAUAAAAGGGUUAUUAAUUAAAAAAUAUGAAUUAAAAAUAAAAAAUUGAAAGUAAUAUAUUUAUUAAUUAUAAACAUUAUGUAAUGCCCUAAAUUUUGAAUAUUUCAUUAGCAAGUAUUUGUUUUAGUGGUUAAGUGUCUUAAUUGUGUGUUUGAGGUUUUGGGUUUAAGUCACAGUUUUUGGGAAAAUUCAAUUAUUUUUUGUUCCUAGGCCUAUCUCUGUUCGUUGGGCUUAAAGGUUAUUUUUAAUCAAUUUAUGUCAGAAUGAGCCUGCUGGUUUAGUGGUAAAAGAUUGCUUACUAUUGGUCUUGUGUUUGAAUUCCCAUGUGAGCAAAAGAGCAAUAUUUUUGCAAUUUACUGUCUAGGGUGCGCAUGGGAUGAAAUUGGUUUGAAAAUCAAAUUCUAGGAAGUUGGCUGGUUGUUGCAUACCAAAGUUUGUGAAAUUUUAUGAACAAUGGUGUUAGUGGGUAGGUUAAUUUGUUUUAAAAUUGCAUUUUGGUUAGGAUUGUUUUAUUUAAAAUAUAUGGACACUUUUGCUCUCGCACGUUCCCUUCUCUCCUUCCCUUUCUUGCUUCAUUUAUCCUUUUUCUUAUUUCUUUCUUUGUUCAAAUGGGUGGGGUCCCAAGCUGAUCUUUUUUUUUUCUUAAUCUUUGUUGUUUCAAUUCUUCUUGUUUGGCCAAUCAAGGUUAGUAAUAAGUGUUGACUGCGACUUGAAUUGUUCAUAAGUAUUGGUAUUCUUUUCCUUUUCGUUUAAGAAUUUGUUGUCGUUGUUUCUCAUUUUGUUGGAGUGUGUUGGUGGAGUUAAUCAUGGUUAGUUGUUUGGUUAGGUUUAGGGGAAACACAAGAAACGAUUCAUCCGUCAGUGACUUAGGAUUGUGGAGACCCUGUUCGUCCAUAGGUAAGGGUUUUAUGCCAAAUUGGGCUCGUUAUGGUUGUUAAGUUAAUCGGAUGUGGGUUGGUUUAGUAUUUUAGAGAAAUUAAAGAUUUUAGUCACUUAAUCGUUGCACUAUUGUGGGCUAAUUUGCUUAAUGUUUGAUGCAUUUAGGUGCUGGAAUACUAAAUUUGUGGAUUCGCAUUGAAAUCAGUCAAUGUGUGUAAUGAAAACUUGAGAAAACAACGAACAACGAAAGCCAAAAAAGUGAGUUGUCGACACUACAUGAAUGUGUGUCAGGCCAUGUGUUGGAGCGUGUGGGACACACGGUCUGGGCUAAUUGGGUUGUGUGGGCAACACGGGCAUGUGUGAAACUGUGUAGGCCCAAAAUUUAGAAUUUUCCCUAAGACCGUAAACAUCGUUCUGGUCAAACGUAGGCCUUUCGUAGGGUCCAUAUGACAUUAAUUAAGCUUUAAAAUAUGAUUUCUGAUGUUCUGUUAGCAUAAAAAUAUUGAUAUGAGUUGUAUGACAAAUAUGAUGUAUGCAAAACACGAACUGUAUUUCUGGUAAGUCUGAUAUGUAUUUGUUAUGAGAGCAUGUAUGACAUGUAUGUUCUAUUAUAUGUUAAUUUUUGUAUGUGCAUUGGGUGUGGGACUGUGUAUAUGGAGGAAGUGUGGGUAGAUAUACCUCUGCCAUAUCUGGUGGCACAACUACACAUAUUUCUGUAAAUGGCAAUAAAUCGCCUAAUGAUCAGGCAGCUAAGGUACGAAUAUUCUAAAAAGUGUCAUAUAUUGACACUAAGUGGUGUGUAGGUUUGGAUGGGUACUCUAAUACCAGAUAUGGUAUGUUGGGAUGGUCGAAGAUGGUGUGUAACGGAUGAGGGUAGGUUCUUAAAUUUGCAUCUGAUAUGAUUUUAUACGAAUUUUUUUCUAUUAUAUGUCUAAUUAUUAUUUGUUGAUAUUCUAUUAUGUUACACAUUGAGCUUAUAAGCUCACUAUCAGUUUGACUAUUUACUUUUAGGUAACCCUUAGACUUAGGAUUGGUUGGUGCAGCGGGAGCUCGGUUGAACAUUUCUGUUAAUCAUGCUAUUCUUUGUUAUUUUACUAUUUUGGUUUUAAUGGACUAUUUGAACAUUUUUGGGACUGUUUUAAUGUUUGGACUUUAUUUUUUUUAUUUUAUUUUAAUUGAUUAAAUGUUUUUGGUGGGUAGAAAAUUGAUUUGCUAAAUGAUGGAUUUUAUAACAAAAAAAUUGUGUUUUCAAACUGGAUUUGACUAAGUUUUCCACUGUAGACAAAUGUGUUUUACGAGUAAAUAAUUAACAAACUUAUCAAAAGAGCUAAGAAAGAUAAAUUUCCUAAAUAAACUCAAAUUUUACUAAAUAAGUGCAAGUAUCGUUUUAUAAAAUGAACGGAUUCUAUAUUUUUUUGAAUGUAUCAUAAUAACAUCUCUAGAUUUGGCCAUAACAUCAAGGCCGGGUUUGGGGUGUUACAUUUGGUGGUAUCAAAGCCAGAUUGCAAAACUCGGGCUGUGAAUUUUGGGUUCAAAAUUUUGUGAAAAUUGUAUUUUAAAAAAUUUUCUUUCUGUUUAAAUCUGAAAAGUGAGUUUACAGAAUACCGAAUCUCCGAUGCUGGUCCUGCAAGUACUUCUAACUUAGUUAAACUUUUAGUUUAGAAAAACUCUUAAAUGAUUAUAAGUGCUCUGCGAUAGUUAGAGACUGCAACAACUCUGUAAAUUUUUUUGAUAACUUUCUGAGAAUAAAAUAUAUGUCAAUAAACAUCGAAAUUGAUACAUAAAACUCUGUAAUGUAGAAAACAUACUAUGAGUGCACGUGGAACUCGUGGACACGGUAAUCGUGGGCGCGACGGAAACCAAAAAGGGCUCGAGUUGAGCCGUCCUCGAUGGACAAUAUGCCCAAUUUAGAUACAAGUGAAACAUUGGGUAUGCCUGCUACUAAGAUUGGAUCUUGGACUUAGACGGUUGGGGACGACGCAUUGUCCCAAGCCAUGUUUAGGGUGCUUGAGAGGGUCGUUGGGACUUAUUCUAGAUCUGAGAGUCAAAGGUUGGUAACUGAAUGACUCCGGUCUAACGGUCCGAAACUGUUUAGGGGCGUCACUAAAGCUGCCCCAACUGCGGCAAAAUAUUGGUUGGAGGCUAUAGAGAGGAUUAUGAAUCAUAUCAAUUGCACCCCUGAGCAGAAAUUAAAGGGUACAGUAUAUUUGCUUAGCGAUGAAGCUUAUCAGUAGGGGCUGACCAUUGAGGAGGGUACUCAACAUGAUGAGAUUUCUUGAGAGUACUUUAAGAAUGACUUCUAGAGAAAAUAUGUGGGGGCUCGUUAUGUGGAGGCUCAUAGACGGAGUUUAUGGGCUUUACUUAGGGGGAUAAGAUCGUGGUUGAGUAUGAGGCCGAGUUUUUGAGGUUUAGCAGAUAUGCUCGUGGGCCUUUGUCAACUGACUAUAACAAAAGCAUUCGGUUUGAGGAAGGGCUAAGGUAUGACCUCAAAGUUCUGAUAGCUCCUCAAAGGGAGUGAGUUUUUGCCAUCUUGGUGGACAAUACGAAGAUUGCUGAGGAGGUUAAGUGCAUUGAGAAUGAAAAUAAGGAUAUAGAGAGAGGUAAGGCUAAGAGGGAUUCAGAUCCCUCUAGUUCUAUUUAGCGGCUUAAGAAACGAGCCAGAUUUGAAGGGCCUCCGAGGGUUAAGGCAAAUGUUUCUCCUACUGUGGUUCAGACAUGUAGAGAUUAUGGUAGGCAUUAUCCAGGUGAAUAUUAGAGGACGUUGGAAGCUUGCUUGCGAUGUGGCUUGAUGAAGCACCGCAUCCGGGAUUGUCCGCGCUGCUCUAGUUAGGUGCAAGCUCCAGUUUCGCGUUUAGUUCAACCUCAAUGAGUAGUUCAACAACCACCUAGGGGUCAUGGUCAGGCCCAAAGUGGUAAUGGAUUGGGUAAUGGUUAGAGAGGAUUGGGAAAAUGUGUUAAUUAGACUAAGGCUAGGUAAUCUACUUUGGUAUAUGCAACAAGACACCGUGAGGAUAGAGACACCGCAGACGUUAUCGUCGCCACGUUCUUUAUUAAUUCUAUAUCGUACUUUGCACUGAUAGAUAUAGGUUCAACACACUCCUACAUAGCUAGCUUUGUUUCUGUAAACUUGGGUAUUUUUGUUUAAAGCACUUUUGGUGAGGUUUUAUUGAUCAGUUCACUAGGUCAAUCAGUUCGGGUUGAUAAGGUUUAUAAGAGAGUAUAGCUGGAGAUACAAGGUGUAGUGUUUCCAACUAAUUUGAUAGAGUUACCAUUUGGAGAAUUUGAUUUGAUAUUGGGUAUAGACUAGCUCGUGGAGUAACGAGUCAACUUGGACUAUGUCACUAAGAGGGUAACUCUAAGGUCUAAAGAUGAUUUAGAGAUUUUCGUGAUUUAUGAGCGUCGAGAUUACCUCUCCAGUGUAAUCUCUGCUUUUAUGGUUGAAACAUUAGUUCAGAAAGGCUGUGAGGCAUUUUUGGCCUUUGUGCUUAACAUUAGUCCAGUGUAAUCUAUGCUUUUCAAAAAACGCCGCUAACGACUCGAAAAAUCAAAAAAUGACAUCGUUGUGCUUGGAUUUUUUGCGGCGCUUUCUGGAAAACGCCGCUAAUGCUCAUUUUUAAUACUGGAUCUUUAGCGGCGUUUUUCCUAAAGCACCACUAAUGCUUGAUUUUUAGCGGCGUUUUUUAUCCAAACGCCACUAAAAACGCCGCUAAAAGCCUGUUUUGGUGUAGUGUAUGAGAGUGUAACAGUGAUGUCGAACCAUCAUUUAGAAGAAUUUCCUUGGGGACUUGCAAAUAGUAAAUACCCGUUUUUAUGGGUAGUUAGGCCUGACGUUGUGAUGGGAGAAUCGGCUGUUUUUCCAAGAGAAUUCAUGGAGGCAAUAAAAGGAAGGGGCCUCAUAAUAAGCUGAUGUCCCCAACAACAAGUGUUGUCCCACCCAGCUGUUGGCGUUUUCUUGACACCCUGCGGAUGGAAUUCUUUGUUGGAAGCUGUAUCCGAAGGUGUGCCUUUAAUUUGUUGGCCUUUCUUUGGUGAUCAACAAACGAAUUGUCGAUAUUCGUGCACCACAUGGGGCAAUGGAAUGGAAAUCAACCCUGACGUAAAGCGUAAGGAUGUGGAGGCUCUUGUUAAAGAGAUAAUGGAAGGAGAUAAUGGGCAAAGGAUAAGGCAAAAGGCAUUGGAAUGGAAGAGAAAAGCUAAAUCUGCCAUUAGUGUUGGAGGAUCUUCUGUUACCAACUUUGAUAGAAUGAUCAAGGAGGCCUUACGUCAAGGUUGAACAUUAAAAUAAGAAAAAUUGUUGUGUUGAAUGUUGUGUAUGUACUUUUUUUUUAUUUUUAUAAUACACUAUUAAUAAAUUGGUUAAUAUUGUGUAAUUGGUAAUAUACUCUCUUUUUUUAAUUCCAUAAGUAAACUUAAAAAAUUGUUAUGUAUCUAAUUAAUUUUAUAAAUUUAUUUUUAAUAUUUUAUUAUAUUUUUAUAGAACACUUAUAAUCACUCUAACCCUACUUUGUAAAUUGUAGAUCAUAUAAUCGAAUUUGCCUUAUUAUCUCACCUGUAACUUUUAUUGCCUCGCCUUUAUUUUUAAUUUUUCUUUUUUUCUUAGUUUUUCUUUUGGUUCAAAGAAGAAACCAAACAUCAUAUAGUUCCCCAUGUAGAAAGGGAAACAGAUACAAUAUAAAUUAACACAUGAACUUACUUAAAUAUGAUUCUAAGAUUAAUCUAUAAUUUUUUUCUGCUUUUAUAUUCUGAUUGAUUUAAUUCUUGAUCCAUAUAAUUUACAAUGGGAAAAUUUUCAUUUAGGCUAUUUAUAAUUUAUAAAAUUUUAAAUUAGUAAUGAUAAAAUUACACUUUGGCCCCCUUAAAAAUGAUAAAAAUUUGAUUAAUUAUUUGAAAAUUAUGAAGAUAUAGACUAUUAAAAUGGUGAAAUUACAUUUUUACCAUCAUAAAAUAUACAAUUUAAUUCCGCCCUGAAAAACUUUUCUAUUUCCACCACUGCUUUAUAUUUAAAUUAAAUACUUCCUUUUAAGAGCUUGAAUUACAAUGUCACAUUAUUCUCUCUCUAUAUAUAUUUUUACUUUUAGAUUUAUAAUAUUUUAUAUUUAAUAGUAUAUUUUAUUUCAAAUGUUUCAUAUUUAUACUCAAAGUCAUUUAAAUUUUGGGUUUGUUUCAUAAAAUUUUAAGAAAAAAAUAAAAAUAUAAAACAUAAAACUUUUAUAAUUUAAAAUUUACAUUUAUCAAACAAUCUAUUUAUAUUUAAUAAUUAAUUUUAAGUAAUAUAUCAAAUAAAAUUUAUAAUUUAAAUUCAAUAUAUGUAAUUUUUUAACACUUAAUUUUUAAUUUAUUUUUUAUAGAAACAUUUUAAUUUUUUAUCCAUAUUCAAAUAAAUGUGUAAUUGGAUUUAUGAACUUUGAAACUUGAAUUGCACUUCAUAUGUAUACAUAAAGCUUUGAUUGUAUACAUUUAAAGAAAUGAAUACAUACAUUUAUUUUCAUAUUGGAUUAAUAUUGUUUUUUUGUGCAUGCAAUAUAUCAACAUAAAAUUGUGUUAAUUCGAUAAUAUUAGUCUAUGGUUUGUGAAUUUUGAAUUAAAUUAAAAUUUCAUGUAUAAAAUUGUACAAAAUAAAAGCUCAUGUAUGACAUUGCACAUUGGACCAAAAUUCAUGUAAAGCUUUGAUAGUUUUCCGUAAAAAUUAUUAAUUAUUGUAAGUAGUAAUAUUAAAUAUUGUAACAGUAAUAUUAGUUACUAUAGCGGUGAUGAUAUAUAUGUUCGGAUUUAAUCAUAGUAGUGAAAGUGGGGUAAAAUAUAAUAAGAAGAAAAAAUGAUUAUUAAACACAUAAUAUUAAAAUUUAUAUGUAAUAGAAUUUUUGAAACUAUUUGAUAUUUGUAAAGUUAAUAAUUAUAAAUUAUUAAGUUUUUUAUAUAAAUAUUUUAAUGAAUAUAAAAUAUUAAGAUGGAUGGUAUGUUCAAAUAAUUUUUUUCAUCAUUUUUAUAUAGUUAUUUAAUUUAAUAAACUUAUAUUAAUUAUAUAAAUAAAUAUAGUUUUGUUAGUCUUAUCAUAUAAAAGUAUAUUUGUAUAGACUUUUUUUUAAAUAUUUACUUAUUAUAUAAUUAUUAACUGAAAUAAAGUAAUGAAAAAAAUUAAUAUCACAAGAUAUAUUAUAAAUACUUUUGUCUUAAAAUAUUUUCUUAAAAAAGUAAAAAUGAUAAAAAGACAAAAAACUGAAAGGACGUGAUUGGAAAAACGGAGGCAUGCAAUGGAGAUGAAAAUUUUUAAUCUUAGCUCACUAGUGAUCCCAAGGAGCCUAAAUUAAUUUUAAGUAAAUUAUUCAUAUAGUCACUCUAAAACUAUUUCUUUUUGUCAAUUAAUUUUUUAUCAAUGAAAGCUAAUUAAGAUGUCAUGCAUUGUUGACUGUCAUACAAAUUGUGUAUAUAAUUAAAUAUUUCAAAAAUUAAUUAUAAAUCCUAUUAUCAUUCCUAAAUUGGAAAUCAACCCUUAACUCCUAAAUCAUUUAACUUUAAAUCUCAUUACCAUCACUGACUUCGAAAUCUAAUUCUAAAUCUCAAAAUCAUUAAACCCUAAACCUCCUUUAUCAUCACUUACUAACGACAAUGUUAUAUUUGACAAAAAAAAUUAGAAUAAUCAAAAUGGGAAUAAAGUAAUUUUAAAGUGACUAUUUGAGUAAUUUACCGUUAAUUUUACGGUGUCAUGGAAUCACUGAAUCUUAGGUACCAACAAAGAAAUAGCCAUAACGGUCAUUGUUUGUACCCACAAUAUGUAGGUAUCCAUCAUAUGAAUACUUAGUUUGAGCUCGAUUUAACUGUUAUUAUUAAAUUUGAAUUCAGUUCAAGAUAUAAUCAAACUAAUUGAACUUGAAUUCGAUUAAAUUAAACAUAUUUAAGCUUGACUUGAUAAUAAGCUUAAGGAAUUAAUAAUAUAUAUUAAGGGUAAUAAUGUAAUUUAAUACUAUACAAAUAUUUAAAAUUUAUCAAAAAUAAAAAGCUCAACAAGGUUAGCGGGCCAUUAGACCCAAGUAUUAUUAAGCUCAAAUUCGGUUCGUCCGAUAGUUCAAGUUUCUCGAACUAAAGCUCGACUCGAUAAUUAUCAAAUCGAGUUUGUAUUUCUUUAGAAUCAAACUUAAAUAACUUGCCAGCUGCCUAAACUUAUUUUAGGUCACUAUAAUCUCCAAAACCCCAAUUUUAACAUUUCAACUAAAUCUUCAUUUCUUCUUCACAAACUACCAUAAUCUAGUUUCUAUUAAUAUGGCUCUAAUAAUCUCGGAAAUCAAAGACCAAGCUUAUUUAUACAAGCAACUCUCUUUUUAACUGUUCCAACUCACCAAAGCAAAAUACAAAAGCAAUACUAAAUAUGAGCUUCACAUGCAUACCUCACACGACUGCAUUCACUUAUAAAGGAAAAAAAAAAAAGAAGAAGCAGAAAUAGAGACAUUGAAUGAUCCCCAUUCAUUAUUUAAGUAAUUCCCCACUGACAAUAGUAUUUCCAGGUAACCAUGUUUGAGAGCUUUCUUAACAAAUCUGUCGAAAUCAAUAUAAGAUGAUCCCCCAACUUCAACCGCUUCUUCCGCUUUCUUCUUCCAUUCCAAUGCCUUCUCUUUCUUUUUCUUUCCUUCCCCACCUUCCAUCAUUUCCUUAACUAAAAACUCUAUGUUCUCUCGCUUCACAUCAUGAUCCACCUCCAUGCCAAUGCCCCAAUGAGUGCAAGCAUAUCGACAAUUGGUUUGUUGAUCAGCAAAAAAUGGCCAACAAACUACUGGCACACCUCCUGAUAUGGUUUCCACGGUAGAAUUCCACCCACAGUGUGUCAAAAAAACACCGACUGAAGGAUGUGAAAGGACCUCAUAUUGGUUGCACCAGCUUGUUAUCAGCCCUCUUUCCUUAAUCUCCUUCAGGAACUCUAGAUCCAGAAUUGCAGAAUCACCCAUCACGACAUCUGGUCUAACGAUCCAUAAAAAUGGGUGUUUAGAGUUAGCUAACCCCCAUGCAAAUUCUUUGAGAUGCUUCGCCGACAUGACAGUAAUGCUUCCAUAGUUCACAUACACAACUGAAUUGGGUUCCCUUUUGUUAAGCCAUUCAAUGCAGCUUGUAUCUUCCUUCCAUAGGCUUGAGUUCAUUGACUUGGAGGGAUCGGCAUGUAGGUGCCUGGCAAGCAAAUGAAGUGGUCCUAUUGUAUAAAUUCGAGGAAAUUUGGCAGCGAUGGUGUCUAACACUUCAUGUUCGAACUCUUCAAAUGCGUUGAAGAUUAUUGCUGAAGCUUUGAG
rnacentral:lncRNA from 1 species